UAGGCUGUUGUUGGCGAGUUGCUUCGGAGAAAUAGCUUUCAAGUAAUAUGGUUUGAGGUAGAACAACAUAAUAAUGGUAUUGGUUGGCUGGUUUGAGUUAGAACAACAUAAUGAUGGUAUUCGUUGGGUGGCAGUGUGUUGUCUCAUUGAUCAUACAAGGCACUCUCAGUUCCAAACAUCUAUAUGUAUGCUCAGAUUACUCGAAUUAUGUUUACAUUCUCAACAUAUGGAGUCUCUACAUAUUUUUUUAGCCGAUGGAGUGUCUACAAUUGAGGAUGAUGGGAACAUUGCUAUGCUAUUAACAAUCUCAAUUUCAGAAUAAAUAUGGACAUCAUACAUUGCAGUGAUGUUCCCACAUAGUAAUUUGUCUGUCGGUUUCACUGUAUUUGACCAUAUUCUUGCAGUUAUACACGCCUAAAAGAGUUAAGCAGCACUUAUUAAGCAUGCAAGUGACGGCGUGGGCCAGUUGAUCAAUUCGAUUAUCGGAAAUUCCAAGUUUAUUUUAUUAAGGCAGAAUCCCUUCCUGAAUACACCGGCUGCAAUAACUGAACUAAACGUCUUUCAGGGCAUUGAGAUAUUUUUUUUUUGAAACGAAGGCAAAAGAUUUGUCUCAUCAAUUAAUUAAAAAGAAGAGAGUUGUCCAGUUAAUUAACGGAAAAUCGGGCGAAAACCGAAGACAAGGCGGCCGGAAAAAAGCGGGUGGAUUUUCAGUCACACCGCUCAUCGUGCCUAAAGGCACUCUUCAUAGUCUGACCAAGCUUGAACGGGCUUUUCUCUGGUCAGGUGCUGACAAGACUACGGGAGCCAAGUGCAAAGUGAAAUGGGACACAGUUUGUAGGCCCAAGGAGUAUGGUGGCUUGGGGGUGCUUAACUCUGAAAAAUUUACGCGUGCCCUUCGCCUUAGGUGGCCUUGGUUCGAAUGGAAGGAGCCCCACAGACUGUGGGUUGGUUAUGGCAACCCCUGUUCGGAGGAUGAUCUCAGCUUCUUUUAUGCCUCCACCACCAUUACUCUGGGAAAUGGAGCCAAAACGCCUUUCUGGAAUUCUCCUUGGCUCCUUGGCCGUAUGCCCAAAGAGAUCGCCCCACACAUCUAUGAGGCCUCCAGGAGAAAGAACUGGAAGGUUAGGGAGGCUAUUAGAGGGAACGCUUGGAUCUUCAAAAUCAUCUACAACACCGUCAUCACCGGAGAUCACAUUCGUGAGUUUUUCACUCUUUCGAUGCUUCUGGAUGACGUCCAUCUUGAUGAGCAUCGGGAGGACGACAUCACCUGGAAGCAUUCCAAUGAUGGGGUGUACUCGACAGCCAGUGCUUAUAAAGCUCAAUUUCUUGGGUUAACCUUGUCACCAAUGGAUCGCAUGGUCUGGAAAGUUUGGGCUCCUCCGAAGAUCAAAUUCUUUGCCUGGUUGGCUAUCCAAGAUAGGAUCUGGACUGCGGACCGCCUGGAGAGGCGCGGGUGGGCCAACUGCGGUCUGUGCCCUCUUUGUUCUAGGGAGCAGGAAACAGGUGCUCAUCUUCUCUUCAAGUGCCGCUUCACUAUUCGGCUUUGGAGGUCUCUCGCGGCCAAGCUCGGUCUUCAUCACAUUGAGACCUCCAGGUGGCAUCUUCAUGGCUCCGUCCUAGAUUGGUGGGAGGAUGGUACUGGGAGCCACGUCCCCAACAGGAGUGCCCUGGCCUCCCUAACCCUCCUUGUCUCCUGGACCAUCUGGAAUGAACAUAAUGCUAGGGUGUUCCGACACAAAAGUGCUCCGCCGCCUAUUCUUCUUAACACAAUCCUGGAGGAGGCCAAGCUUUGGGUUACAGCUGGAGCAAAGAAACUAGGGCGUAUUGUAUAUCGAGAGUAGUCCGCAUGCCGUGCUUAAGGUGGUUGUUGUAACACUCUUAUCUACUCUCUCUUAUUUAAUCGAUGAGGCAAAUCUUUUGCCUCCGUUUCGGAAAAAAAACACUGCAAGACCAAAUUGUAUCCAGCAUCCACAGUCCAAGAAGUAGCAACAGAUGACAAGAUCCACAAAUCUGCUCUGUGCAAAGAACAGUCACAUGCAGAGAGAGGGCACACCAGAAAACAAGACCAAAAAUGUUUCUAUCCAUAACCUCAUACAAGAUAUUGUAUAUAACAGACAUAUGAUAACGUGAUAACUGCCAGGACCAAUCAUACAGAUAUAAGCAUGGGCAGAUCCCAGCUACUCGAUCCUGUCUUGUACGGUCACCACUAAAUCAUGGGCGUCGUCCAGGAGCUUCCAAAUGUCCAGCUGCCCGGCCAUGCUGUUACAGUCCCUAAUGAUCUCAUCCAUGCUGCUAUAGCUCUCUAUUAUCAAUUUCCUCUUCUCCAGUACACUGGCUGCAAUUGCAUACAGCAGCAGGUCAUCAGUUGGAGGGGCUCCAAGCUGAAGUUUUCUCCAGGAUGAUCUUGUGAUCCCAGCCCGCCUCGCUGCCUGAUCGGCCCACAUCGCCUCCCACAGGCUGAGGGUCUGCUCGAAGGUGAGCUCCCUCCGGAACAUCACAACCACCAUUCUAUAGACGAAGAAGCAGUCUGCAGCUUCAAGCAUCUCCAAGUGCCUGUAAAGAUGGAAGUCCUUGGUUUUUAUUAUCUUGGAGACCAUGUUGAGUUGCCUGCGAAUACCCACUUCAUCGAGUCUGAAGUUGUGGCGGGCUUUCCUCAUGAAACCGGCAAAGCACCAGAAGGCUUCAUCGUCUUCCUCCAGCACAGCAAGGAGAGGUGCAAGGAGGUCACUCAUGCCCUGGCAAUAACCGAUUUCUGGGUCAUAGGUUGCGUACGCCUCAAGUAUUGCAACAAGACGUGACGCAUGAUGGAUCCUAUGUGCUUCCAAGUGCUCAUAGUCUUUGAGACAAACAGCUGAAGCAGAUUCAAUUGCCUUCUCUCUGGUAACCGCAGCUUGCGAUGGAGAGUAGGAAACCCAUUCAUUAUUAGCACGAACUGCAUCCAAACGAAUUAUCCGCUGCCAUGUCUCAAAAUCCUCAACUGUCCGUGCAGACUUCACAGGACGGGCAAUCUUAGAUAACUUAGUUUCAGUUUCUAUAUUUCCUCCUGUGUUUGAAUAUUUGGGCAGGGGCAUACUUUCUUCUUCAUCCUCAACUGAAGACUGGUCCACAGAGGCGACAUCAUCACGGGAUGCUUCCACAUCGGUCACAUCACUUUUCUCACUCUCAUCCUCAUCACGUGAACUAGAUGAACAGAGGCUUUCAUCCGCCUGAUUCUCUGGAAUUGCUUUACCUGUCUUAUCCUGCAUUUCUUGCUCUAAAAUGACACAAGGAUUUUCUUCCUCACUCGUGAUAUGAUCAUCCACGCUUACUUUUUCAGGUUCUCCAGAUCCAACAGAAGUAACAGAUUCUUUGACUUUGCCUGAACUAAUGCUCUCUUUGUGAUUGACUGAUCGCUUGCUUUCUUUAUUGUUUUUUCGCAGGCAAUGUUUCCUCAAGAGCAGAUAUCCCUUCCUACAUAAAUCAUCCAACAUUGUCAUGUUUUACACUAGACCCCAUGAAAAUAACAUUUGCAAACACUUAAGUGUUCCUUAAUUAAGGAGCAAUGUAUUUCUGUAGUGGUAAAGAAAACUAUAGUGAGACUGUGGGCAACCAUGGACUGGAGUCAUGAAACAUAGAUGGUUGAAAAAAUGGUGUACCUGUUAUGGGCCUUAAUUGCUUCCCUUUCAGCUUCUGAACUAUUCAGGCUAUAACUGCACGAGAGUCAAAAAUUCCAAUUACUCGAGGUAAACACUCUGACUACCCCAAAAAAAACGCACAUGUGACUAAGUACAUAAAAUUUCCACGAUGUAUCUCUUACUGUGCCUACCAGAGAAGGCUGAACUAUGUGCAAAAUUGGUGUAUUCGUAAGUUUUCCUUCAUCUACUUAGUUUAGAAUCAAUCUAAAACUGCACGCAAUAGUUUUGAUACUACAAAUGAACAGGAGCGGGGGGCAGGUAGCCUGGGAAAAUCCUGUGGAAAACACUAAUUUCCACAUUUACAUACUAACAAAAAGUACAAAAGUGAGUAUGCCUCUCUUAAGUUGGCCCUAUCUAUGUUCUGUUCAAGUCCCAAAACUGAAACAGUUAAUUAUAAAGUAUAAAGCCUCACUCAAAUGCAGAAAAGAUGAAUCAUGUAAAAAAAGGAACAUCAACAGAAUCUGUUGCUAAAAAUACAAAACGAUGUUAGCAUGAGUUCCUCAUGUGCAAGUAUCUCGUGGAUCUAAGUAUACAUCUGCAAGCAUAGCUAAAUCUGUCCUCGGAUCACAAUGUCUAGAGUACUUACACUCCAAGAAGGAACGGCCAGACCUCUGCUCUGAUGCUCGGCUCAACCCCCUGUCACGAAAGCAGACAGCUCAAUAUAAUGACUUUGUAAGCUACAUCAGGAACUCACAAGAUAGCAAGGAAAUACUGUAACAAACAAACUAAGCUUCACUAUAUCUUACUCCGUUCCGAACUCUCUUCAGUAGCUUGACGCCACCGUCGUAGAACUUCCCCUCCGGCGUGAACAAGCUACGCCAUUCCUUGGGCCCAAGCGCGGGCUUCCUCCGCCGCCGCCACGGCGAUUUGAUCCCGCCCCUGCAUCCAGAGCGCGCAUAUGCAACUAAGGGGACGAAGCACAGGACCACCUUUGGCAGAAGGGGGGGAGGGUUUGGGUCUGGCGGUGGCCAACCUGCGGGAGGAGACGACGAUGGCGACUAGCGCGAUGCCGGCCGCGGCCGUGACCCCGACGGCGACGGCGGUGUUCCAGCGACCGCCAUUCGCGCCGGCGGGGCCGAGGAGGCCGGCGACGGCGCGCUCGGCGAGGCCCCACGCCCACAUCGGGCGCAGAUGCCCCCCUGAUCGCUCCACGGCUCCCCUCCGGCUCUUCCCCCCGCCGCCGCCGCCGCUGCGAUCCCCCAGCUCUGCUUCCUUCGAUCGAUUGGGAUUCCGGCCUCCGGGUUUCUCCUUUUUCCUCUUCCUUUUUUUCCUCUCUCUGCAGUUCUCGCGCUGUCCCGUCUGACGAUUUCGACGAAAGUGGUGCGUGCGUGCGUCACUGAUCGAUAGGGCCAUGUUCGUGGGCCUCACGAGGCGGGUUCGGGUCGGUGUAUACGUCGUUUGACGUUUGGUGCCUACCGAUCGAAUGAAGAAACUUUGAAAAAAAAUCUAAAAAAAUGGUUUUCGUAGUUCUUUUUUUAGGGUAUGAAAUUUCCUAGCAUCAAGAUGUUGGGUGUUAGACUCUCGAUCCAGUUUAACUCACAGCACAAUGCACCCUUACAGCAAACAGUGGCGGAGCCAGCUAUCUGGCAAGGCCUGGCAGCUGCCACACCUAAAUUUGAACCAAAUAUACUAGUACACCUACGUGUUGGACAUGGACUUGAUACUACAAGUACGUAGCUGGUGGGGAUGAUGUAAAACUCUGCCGAACAGAGUACGAGUACAUGCAUGAUAAUAGAAUAUGGUACUUAAAUUUGGAUUUUAGUUGUAUUUGCAAAAUACAAAGUUACCUAUAUAUAAUAAUAAAGAAAAUUGGGUUUCCGUCGUCCGUCGUCGCUAGCGAUUUUGCAAAAUAGUCCCUAUUGUUUCUGGUAUUCAACCCGCAGUUCCUUUUUAAGUGGAUAUAUGAUAUACGUUGUUCUUACAAAAAGGACCCUGCGUUUUGUUAUUCAAUUGCUGGCGAGCGAGACGAGCUGGAGGUUGAGGCUGGCCGCGAUACAGACGAUGCCCGGCGCGGGGGCUGCGAUCUCCGGCGAGAUCCGGUCGAGGAGGCGAGGCCGAGGCGAUCCGGUCGAGGAGGCGAGGCCGAGGCGAUCCGGUCGAGGAGGCGAGGCCGAGGCGAUCUAGGAGGCGCGGGAGCAGGUCCAGCGGCGGAGCUUCAACUCCAAGUACAUGGCAGCGGCGUUCCUCGCCGGUUCCGAGCGAGAUGGGGCUGCGAUGCAGACGAUGUUGGGCGCGGCGGCGGCAAUCUCUGGCCAGAUCCGGUCGAGGAGGCGAGGUAGGGGCCGGAUUAUGUUUUGGGGACGACAUGGAGGCGAUCUACAAGGCGCGGGAGGAGGUCCAGCGGCAGGGCUUCAACUCCAGCGGGCCCCCUUUCGAUGGACGGGGCCGCCCACAUCGCCGGUGACUCCCCGGAGGCCAACAGGGCCUCCUCCUCCGCGUCCUCGACCGACUCGGCCUCCCGGCGCUCCCGACCGCGGAAGGGGAUUCACCUGCGGCGGCGCCGGCGACUGUUGUUCGCUCGGAGAGGAGAGGGCGGCGAAGGUGACGGUAAGGACGCCGAUGACGACGUGCAGGACCUCGCACUGUCGCCGGGGAUGUCCUUCGCGGUGGUUCUCGCCCAGGUGAGUGUCCACUCCUCCCGGUGUUCGUCAUGUGUUCUCCCUCUCCCUCUGCGCCCCAUGUCGCUAUUCUCAUGUUGCUUUUGUCGCAGCCAGAGGCUCAACAUCAGGGGCCGCGUAUACCCAGCGAUGCUCCCCGUCGACGGCAACAAAGUCCCCGGAAAGGUGCAUGCAAUCCCACGCGCACACAUCCCGUAUACUUGCUGUUAAUUUCUUAUUUUGUCCACUGCAAGUUAAGAUGUGAACAAUGGCGAGUACUGUCAGUAUGGAACGGUUGAAGUGCAGAACGAGUGACAAUCUGUUCAUGUGUCUAGGUUUGGAAGGGGAUCACUGAUGGGGAGUUCAAUGUGCUGGACACAUUUGAAGAUGAACAGUAUGUGAGGGAAGUUGUUGGCAUCUCACUGACUGUAAGUCCAUUCGCUGGCCUAGGUCUCUGCUUCAGCUCAGGGUAGCCGGAUUUAUGAUGACCUGCAAAAUUCAGUGAAAUGUUUAGUUCAAAUCAAUUAUCCUGACACCCCUUUUCAUGAUUGAGCCUUCUUAUUUGGGGCACACAGAUAGAACUGCUAUCAAUUGGUUUUGUUCUAUCAUGAAAGACCACUUUUCGUUUGGCACUUAAGAUAGAAAUUCUUCACUAGACUGUUCCACGGAAAGAGGAUUGAGUACUUCGGAUUUGCAGGAUUCGGCGGAUACAAUGAUGGCCUAUGCAUACAUAUGGGGGAAUGUAGAUGAUCCUGACCUCUAUAGUGAAUGGGAUUUUGACGUGAGUAUUUCCCUUCAUGCUAAUUGUAAGCAUUUUCCGUAUAUUGAUUGAAAGACAGACAAACACCGCCACUAUCUAACUAAGCGCAUGCACCAAUUUGGUGAUGCUAUGAGAAGCAAUGCUGUUGCAACAUAUGUUUAUUAAAUUACAUGUAUAAUGCUACUAUUUGUUAAACAAUCUCCAUUUUCUCAGCUAGCCCAAUACUUUUGCUAAUCAGAAUUUUGGUACGGAGAAUAACAUCACUAAUUUACUAGCUCUAAGAAAAGCACAUGCUUGAUUUCUUGAAUACGUCCCUAUGUGCUGUCAACUUGUAUGUGCUGUUUGGCAAUGUCUUAUUUUCUUUGGAUUCCCGGGGCAUAUUUCAGUAGUAUCCAUUCAAACAUUGACCUGUACUACUAUGCUGCUUCUCCAUCACUUCUGGUUCAUGAAGGUCGACGGCCCUGCCGACGCAAGGGAUCUCGGGUCGCCGUCGCCAUUUGGGAGCUCCCUCUCCUUCAUGCCUUCUUACCGUGGUGCCAGGGAUCAACGGCCGGACGCCAGCAUGACGGAGCUAUUGUGCUGCUGCCUCAGGUCGUCCAGGCUCGUCCUCGGUCCCAGCCACCCAUCAUCAAGAUCCGACGUCCUCUGUCCUUUUUUCCGAUUGAUGUGAGUAAGCCUCCACUACCCGCUUCCAACUCUGUAAAAUUUGCUGUUGUAGUUGGCAUGAGAGGCCGCCUUGAUGCAAAGCUACAAGUUUACGUGGGUGUUGCUGGCCGUUGCCCCCUUGCCCCCUGGCCAGCAGGGUCUUCCAUGACCAGGGCCCCCAAGCUAAGGAGUAACAUGCUGCAGCUUCUGCCCACCACCAUGCAUGAGACAUGGAAAUCUAGAAAGUUGUAGGUUUGUGCGACACUCAUGCUCACCAUGUGUUUUCUGAAAUGCUCCCAUGUAGAUAUAUAUAAAUUGAUGUUUAUAUAUUAUAAGCAUUUGUAAAAUGUUCAUGUACAAUGCAGUAUGCAACAAUAAAUCACAUCUCCCAGCAAUGGCUACUUACCAUUACUCUUAUCACCUUAGACUAAGUUGUAUGAAUUAGAUGACUCGGCACUUAUGUUUUCGUAGUAGGUUCUGUGUCCUUCGCGCACUUACAAUUCAGAGAUACAUUUGGUACAUGGCUGAUUGACUUUGUUCGUGUGGAUUACCAGUUUAGCAGCAAUGAUUGACUUUGUUUAUGUGGAGUACCAAUGUAGCAGCAAGUCUGUUGUAACUUUGGCAACACAACCAACAUCAAGUGUCACACUGGUAGUCUAGGGUCAGUUCAAAAUUCGAAUUAGUGUUUAGUUUAAUCUACGUGUAGUUCAUCGUCCAUUUCUGAAUCACCAAGGAUUGAUUUUAUUGACACAAGAUUCUCUACCUGUUGUUUUCUAUUAGGUAAAAACAGUCAUUGGCUCCUCAUGUAAUCUACAAUAAGUAUCCCUUUUGACACUCAUUUAAGUAGAAUUCUUUAUUAUUAUUGUGGAAGCAGAAACACACUUGAGAAGGAUUUCAUUUAGUUUGUACUUUGAGUUUCAAAGUCUAUUAUUGACAUGGAUUUUCCUUCUGCUAGAGAGGCUGAAUCUACAUCAGAACAACGGCAAGUUAACAAACGAGGAGGUUGGAGUUGUACUGUGACUACUGUUAGAUCUGGUUUUGCACUUCCGAAUUUUAUUUGAGAAUGAAUCUCGAAGGUAUAUUUUCUGCAAAGUGCUAGUGCCCUCCUACAGAUGACAAGAUUUUCUUCUUUUAAUUGUAAUGAGGCAUGAGCCACAAACUCUUCAUAGAACUUUGAAGCAAAAUAUUGAUCCCCUGCAUGCAUAUAUGAUUGCAAACCAAUUUUUUUUAAAUCCGUUCCUUUUUACAAUAAUAUUUUCCUGGGUGAUGUAACAUAAGUAUAUUAUUGGUACAAUUAAGUGAUAUGAUUAGUACUUGAUUUAUCUGGGCAUAAAAAUGUCUGAGAUAAUAGCUCUAGCACUCAUGCCCACAAUUUGAAAAUGGUAGGACUAUCCUUGACCCAUAUAGAAGUGAUAACCCCCCNNNNNNNNNNNNNNNNNNNNNNNNNNNNNNNNNNNNNNNNNNNNNNNNNNNNNNNNNNNNNNNNNNNNNNNNNNNNNNNNNNNNNNNNNNNNNNNNNNNNNNNNNNNNNNNNNNNNNNNNNNNNNNNNNNNNNNNNNNNNNNNNNNNNNNNNNNNNNNNNNNNNNNNNNNNNNNNNNNNNNNNNNNNNNNNNNNNNNNNNNNNNNNNNNNNNNNNNNNNNNNNNNNNNNNNNNNNNNNNNNNNNNNNNNNNNNNNNNNUCAUAAGCUCCGCCACACCUGAAAAUUAUUUCUGCAUUCGACACUGACAGCAAAGGCACACUGUUUUGCAAAAAAAGUGAAACAGAAAAAUAAGCCGAUGUCGUGCCUUUUUAUCAAUUGGAUGCAUUUUUUUUCUCUCAUGUGGUUCUCUCUUAAGUAGUGUUGAUUCACUAUGGCUCCAUAUACUUGCGGUUGGGCUAUGCGAUCCGAGAUGAACGAGAAAUGCACGCUCUUCAUCCUGGUUUGGCCCCAUGGCAGGAUGGCAAUGCUUUUGAUCAGCAUCGUUGUGCCUCCUAGUGUCGUCGCCUGUUUUGCUGCCAUGGCAGCACUUUCUUUGAAUUAGGGUGCUAACAUCCCCUCCUUGAGAUACGGCUUGAUCCCAAGCCAAUAGAGCAGGGCGCGCUCCUUCGGGUGAAUUGUGUCUUCCUAGGUGGCGUCGAAGACGGUGGGAUCGGACCAAUGAACGAAGAUCCGCUCCCUCCGUUCAGUUGGAAUCAUUCUCUGGCGCUGGUGAUGACUUCAACGGGAGAGAGCACGACUUCUUAUGGUUUUGGCAGCUCCGUCGUUGCAGUGGUACCUGGGGUAAGAGCCUAUCGGAGUAGUGGACUUGGAAGAUAGGUGGACCUUUGAUACAUCUCGAACGCAUCUACUUUUCCUAACGCCUUUCCUCUUGUUUUGGACUCUAAUUUGCAUGAUUUGAAUGAAACUAACCCCGACCUAACGCUGUUUUCAGCAGAACUACCAUGGUGUUGUUUUUGUGCAGAAAUGAAAGUUCUCGGAAUGGAAUGGAACUUUGCGAGGAUUUUUUAUAUCAAAUAAGAAAAUUUCUGGAGUCAGGAGGUAGCUGAGGGGGGCACCUGGGUGGGCACAACCCACCAGGGUGCGCCAGCCCCCCCCCCCCCCCAAGCGCACCCUGGUGGGUGCUGCCCACCUCGUGGCCUCGCUGACCCUCAAACCGAUGCUAUAAAAUCCCAUAUUUUCACAAAAAAAAUCAAGGAGAAAGAAUUAUCGCGUUUCAUGAGACGGAGCUGCCGCCGUCUCCUGUUCUUCAUCGGGAGGCCAGAUCUGGAGUCCGUUUGGGGCUCCGGAGAGGGGGAUCUUCGAUCUUCGUCAUCACCAACACAUCUCCAUCGCCAAUUCCAUGAUGCUCCCCACCGGGAGUGAGUAAUUCCUUCAUAGGCUCGCUGGUCGGUGAGGAGUUGGAUGAGAUUCAUCAUGUAAUCGAGUUAAUUUUGUUAGGGCUUGAUCCUUAGUAUCCACUAUGUUCUGAGAUUGAUAUUGCCAUGACUUUGUCAUGCUUAAUGCUUGUCACUUUGGGCCCGGGUGCCAUGAUUUCAGAUCUGAACUGUUUAUGUUAUCACCAUUAUAUCCAUGUUCUAGAUCCGAUCUUGCAAGUUAUAGUCACCUACUACGUGUUAUGACCCGGCAACCUCGGAGUGACAAUAGUCGGACCACUCCCGGUGAUAACCGUAGUUUGAGGAGUUCAUGUAUUCACCGUGUGUUAAUGCUUUGUUCUGGUUCUCUAUUAAAAGGAGGCCUUAAUAUCCCUUAGUUUCCAAUAGGACCCGCUGCCACGGGAGGGUAGGACAAAAGAUGUCAUGCAAGUUCUUUCCAUAAGCACGUCCACGGGAGGGUAGGACAAAAGAUGUUAUGCAAGUUCUUUCCAUAAGCACGUAUGACUAUUUACGGAAUACAUGCCUACAUUAUAUUUAUGAACUGGAGCUAGUGCCAUAUCGCCCUAGAUUAUAAUUGUCUCAUGAUGAAUAUCAUCCAACGAGUCACCGAUCCAAUGUCUACAAAUUUAUCAUAUAUUAUUCUUGCUAAGCUACUACUGUUGCUACUGCUAUCGUUACUACUACAAUGUCACUGUUAUCAUUGUUACUGUUACCGUUACUACUGCUACUAUCAUCAAAACUAUCAUAUUACUGUGCUACUAAUCAUUUUGCUGCAGAUAAUUAAUCUCCAGGUGUGGUUGAAUUGACAACUCAGCUGCUAAUACCUUCAAAUAUUCUUUGGCUCCCCUUGUGUCGAAUAUAUAAGUAUGGGUUGAAUACUCUACCCUCGAAAACUGUUGUGAUUCCCUAUACUUGCGGGUUAUCAAGACAUUUUUCUGGCGCCGUUGCCGGGGAGCACAACUAUAUUUGUUGAGUCACUUGGGAUUAUUAUCAUAUUAUUACUAUGAAGAAUUUGAAGGAUGCUAAGACUAAGAUUUUUCCCUCAAAGACGAGGGGAGUUAAGGAACUGCCAUCCAGUUCUGCUUUAGAUUCACCUUCUGUUAUAAGUAAACUUGCAACUCCACAACAUGCUAUUAAUUCUGAUAUGUCGCAAGUUAUUGAUGAUGUCACUUCUGCUAUGAAUGCUACUCAUGAUGAUGCCAGUACCUUGCUUGAUGAUGAUGUGCCACUAGGUGAAUUUCUUGAUGAACAAAUUGCUAGAGUAAGACAACAUGAUAUUGUUGAGUCCGAUGAUGAACUUGAAACUAAAAAUCUUGAAACACCUACUAGAACUAGUCCUCCUAGAUAUGAAUUGCCAAAGGUACCGGAAGGUUAUACUAUGAGUGAGGAGGCAACUAGAGAUAUUCUUGCUUGUAAGGAUAGAGAUGAUCUAAAGAAAUUAUUAUGCAAGUAUAAAGAAAGAUCUCUCAAUGCUAGAAUGAAAUGUGAUCCUGAGUUUGCUACUUCACCUAUUGUUAUUGCUGAUAAGGAUUAUGAAUUCUCUGUCGACCCAGAGUCAAUCAUUUUGGUUGAAUCGGAUCCUUUCCAUGGUUAUGAAAGUAAAACUGUUGUGGCACAUCUUACUAAGUUGAAUGAUAUAUCUACCAUUUUUGCUCAUGAUGAGAAUAUUCGCUAUUACUAUAUUCUCAAGUUAUUUCCGUUCUCAUUAAAGGGUGAUGCUAAAGCUUGGUACAAUACUCUUGCUCCUGGUUGUGUGCAUAGUCCCCAGGAUAUGAUCUAUUACUUAUCUGAAAAAUAUUUCCCCGCUCAUAAGAAACAAGCUGCCUUGCAGGAAAUAUUUAACUUUGUGCGAAUUGAAGAAGAGAGUCUCCCACAAGCUUGGGUGAGCCUUCUUCAAUUGCUUAAUGCUUUGCGUGACCACCCUCUUAAGAAAAAUGAAAUACUUGAUAUCUUCUAUAAUGGACUAACCGAUACUUCUAGGGACUUCCUAGAUAGUUGUGCUGGUUGUGUUUUCAGGGAACAAACUAUUGGACAAGCUGAGGAAUUAUUGAAUAACAUAUUGAAAAAUCAUGAUGAUUGGACUCCUCCUAAAACACCUAUUAAACCCACUCCGAAGAAGAGGGGUAUCUUAUAUCUCAGUCCUGAAGUUAUGCAAGAUGCAAAGAAUAUAUGAAGGAAAAAGGUAUUAAGGCCGAGGAUGUUUAAAAUUUACCACCUAUCAAAGAAAUACAUGGGCUUGAAGCACCACCACCACCCAAGGUGGUAGAGGUAAAAUCUUUAAUGAAUUUCAAUGAUAGUGAUGAUCCUCAUAAUAAACAUCCUAGUCAAUGCCUUUAUGAGUUUGAUAAUUACAUUAGAAAGCAAGAUCACUUCAAUGCAAAUGUUAUGAAACAACUGAAAUACAACUCUGAUAUGAUUGCUCGCUUAAGUCACUUGCUAUUUAGAAUCUCAAAUGAUGUUAGAGGUGUAGAAAAACAUGCCUCUAUGGUUCAAACUCACUAGAACAAGUUGCUAAAUCUCAAAGAGAGUUACUUGAUGAAAUGAACAAUAAUACAAGUGACUUUACUGUUAGAGUAGCAACUAGUGGAGGUAAAAUGACUCAGGAACCACUUUAUCCCGAGGGACACCCAAAGAGAAUUGAACAAGAUUCUCAAAGGAACAACACCACUACACCUAGUCCUUCUAAAAAGAAAAAGAAGAAGAAAAAUGGCAAGACUUUGCCUGCCUCUAGUGAACCUGAAGUAGAAAAAUCUCCUGGUAAUGAUAAUGAAGUUUCUAUCUCUGAUGAUGAAACUCAAUCUGGUAAUGAACACUCACCUUUUGAUAAUGAAAAAGAUAAUGAUGAGGUUCAUGAAAACACUCAACCUAAUGAUAAAGAACCAGAUAAUGAUGUUGAGAAUAACCAGCUAUUGAUCUUGAUAACCCACAACCUAAGAAUAAAAGAUAUGACAAAAGAGACUUUGUUGCUAGAAAACAUGGAAAGGAAAGAGAACAUUCAAAAUCCUAUGCCCAUUCCACCUAAGUCAACUAAAAAGAAAGAUAAUGAAGAAUUUGAACGCUUUGCCGAAAUGAUUUUCUGUGCACUCGCUUGACUAAUAUCUUGAAAAUGCCUCCUUAUGCAAAGUAUAUGAAAGACAUCAUCACCAAUAAGAGAAAAAUACCGGAAGCCAAAAUCUCCACUAUGCUUGCUAAUUACACUUUCAAAGAUGGAGUACCUAAAAAACUUGGAGAUCCGGGAAUGCCAACUAUACCUUGCUCCAUUAAAAGAAAUUAUGUGAAAACUGCUUUAUGUGAUUUGGGAGCUGGUGUUAGUGUUAUGCCUUUCUCUUUAUAUAAAAGACUUGAUUUGAAUAAACUCACACCUAUUGAAAUAUCCUUGCAAAUGACUGAUAAAUCAACUGCCAUACCUAUCGGUAUUUGUGAGGAUGUGCCCGUUGUUGUUGCUAAUGUUACUAUUUUUGACUGGCUUUGUUAUAUUGAGAUGCCCGAGGAUGAAAACAUGUUGAUUAUCCUUGGUAGACCCUUCUUGAAUACCGCAGGGGCUGUUAUUGGUCACUUUUCAUAUCAAUGGUAAUGAGCAUACAGUGCACUUUUCGAAGAAACAAUUCCAAGUGAAUGGUAUUAAUGAUAUUGAAAAAUCUCCGACAAUCACUAUUGGAAGUUUUCAACUACCUCUACCUACUAUCAAAAAGAAAUAUGAAAUGCUUAUUGUUGGGGACAUUCAUAUCACCAUUGAGGUAACUUAGUGAUUUACGGAAGUUCUUCGGUCUCAUGCUAAUCGAAAGUGGUUGUUAAUAAGACUUGAUCAACCUUAUUAAUGAAUCAUUUUUUAGAGGUAUGAAGUUGAUGAAUUUAGUAAGCACUACCUUCUGUCCCUACCUUUUGUUUUUCUGCUUUUAUUAGUUAAAUAAAAUAAAGUGCCAUGCUUUGUCCGUUUUCUGCUUUUCCCGUGCAAUAAAAAAAUGACCCAAAAAUAAAAGUUCUCAGAACGCUCUGAAAAUCUGAUACAAAUUUUUUCUGAAUAUUUAUGAAUUUCUGGUGCAAAUAAUAUCAGAGGGAGGUACACCAGGUGGGCACAACCCACUUGGGCACGCCAGGACUCCCAGGCGUGCCCUAGUGGGUGAUGCCCACCUGGUGGGCCCCCUCACUUACUUCUUCCUCCCACACCACUCCAUUCACACAGGAAAAAUCAGUACCUCUCUCUCUCUCUCUCUCUCUCUCUCGUGUUCUUGCUCCAGAAACUGCGGAUUUCGAUCUCUUUGCUCGAAGCUCCAUUUCCGAAAUUGUUUCGGGGAUUUGUUGCUUGGUAUGUGACUCCUCCACGUGUCCAAUUAAUUUUUGUUUUAGUGGUUUAUAUUUAGAAUAAUUAGUUACUCUUGGUGCUGCUGUAGAUGAGCUUGCAUGUUGAAUUCUUUGAGUUCUAAGUAGUUUGAAUGCUUGCUAUGGCCUCUAUACAUCCCUAUGAGUACUUGCUAUCAAUUUUGUGAAGUUUUGUUGAGAAUUUUUUUUGUGGACUAAAAAUUUCAGAAUUUUGUUCAUAGGAAAAAGAUGAAUAUCUUUAGGAAGUUUGCUUCCAAGAAGAACUCCAAGGGGGUUAUUGGGCAGUCAUCUGACAAUGAUCUUCAUACCCCGAGGUUGGCGGAGUUACGGCCGUGUGAGUGGUCGGACAAUGAGUUCAUGGGAGAGGCCGAAAUCCUCCAAGAGUUCAACCAAUAUGCUGCUAAUGCCGGCCUCACCGACUUCAUCGUAGCUGAAUGCGAACAGUAUCAUCUCCUCACAAAUUCCUUUGUGCAAAACUUCAUUUCAUCUAGGAAUAAUCCCCCUGAGGUGUCAUUUAACUUAUAUGCUGAACACCGUCAGACCCCACUUACUGAAUUUUGUGACAUAUGCAUGCUUUCUUCUGAUGGGGGUUUGGUAGAGCCUAGGCCCUCAAAGUUUGAUGGUUUUUACCGUACUCUGAUAGUGGGGGAUGAGAGGAGUUUUGAGCACCACUGUCACUAGCUUGCAGUUUCCUACCAUGCAUUACUUUGCUUUAUUUAUCGCAAAGUGCUUGCUAGCGAGAGAGGGUGGGUUCACUCAGCGCCCCAAAUUUUGCUGUUUUGCGUCGCACACUUUAUGGCGAUAACACUUUUAGCUUGGGAGCUAUUGUGGCACGUCGCCUUCACCUUAACAGAUUCAAGGGUAAAUACAUGGGGACAUUUAUGCUGCUUGUUUGGCGACUCACUUCAAUGUGCAGAUACGCCAGCAUGAUCACCCCUUGCCCAAGGUUUACUUAGACAGAGCAGCUAUGAAGGACCACCAGUUUCUUGCUGCUGAUUACCCUGAUAUUGACUUGCCUUACAAUUUAGUUUUUAGUGAGAUCACUCGUGAUGUCAUCCCCUUGCAUGCACCUGCUUUGUUUAACUAUGUUGUCAGGAACGGAUAUAGAGUUAUGCCUGAGGACAUAGUCGCUUACCGGAACAACCUGGCGGCGGCGCAGUCGGAGCCUCAGCAGUGGGACCCUAUGGUGCCUGCUCCCCAGCACUUCAACAUUGGACCUCACGGCUUCUACAACUGGUGAUUACCAAGUUAGGCCAAAAGCCUAAGCUUGGGGGAGUACGUAUUCCCAUCGAUAUUACAUUCAUGUUCACACAUCUAUCAUUCUUAAGAAGUUGCUCCCCACUUCUUCCUAUUCUCUCACCAUGCACACUAUCCACAUCAACGAUGUGCCACAUCAUUAUUCAGUUUCUAAAAGCAGCCAAUCAGUUUUUCCCUCGCCUGCAGCCACUCAUCCCCCAUCCCCCAUGGCCACUGGCCCUCCCUCCAGCUCUAUAACCAACCGGUUGAGCCCCUUUUCUUCCCAAAUGGAUCCCACGCAGCACUUGACCACAUCCAUCAACUAUUCCUCUCCCCACUUAGCCUUUAGUUAUGGAUUUUACCACACACAGCCCACUACUGAUUUCAAUCUGGUGGGUCCUACAUAAGAAAGCACUCUUCCCCUCCCAGUAAUCUUCCAUAUAUAUUAAUUUGGAGCGUACGUGCAAGGUUGCCUCUACAAUCCAAAAGUCAUGUAUCUCAGCGCCUGUUGUCUUUCCCCCUUCGCCCAUUCACAGUUUGUAAUGACGCGUCUGACUCCCCCUUCUGCUUUAUUCGGUACGCUGGAGAGAUGCACUAGAAACAACAUCAUAGCGUUGCAGAAGAAGAACACGGGGCUGCAGUGUGGGGCUGAGCUGCAACAGGAACAUCAGCGCCGUGCUGCUGUCUCCCAUGCCGCCAAGCGAUGUUGAGUCCGGAGAGCUGCCAUUUCUGUGGAGACGGUGGGAGUUGAAGAAGGCAGUGAUCCUUCAAACGAAUUGUGCGUGGCCGAGAUCGGACUGCAUGCAAGUUGAACGAAUUCAAAGCCGGGAACAUUUGACGUCGGAGCCGAGCGACAAGCAGGUUCUCCCAUCGCCUCCUGCUCCAGUAUCCUUUGACCGUAUCAUUUGCAUACUAUCUUUGUGAGCCUUUAGAUCUACGUGUCUGCAUGCAAGUAAAUUCUAUCCUGAAGUGAAGAGUACUCUUGCGAAUUGUUUUCUCCCUUUCUCCAUCUAGAUGACAUGCGUGCAGCUCAAAAAGAAGGCAUGCAUACUUACCUUUUCAUUUGAUUUAUUAUUGGGCUGACCUUUUGUCUAUCUCUGUCUGAAAUCCAGACCUUGUAUAUAUCAGGGGGUCAUUUUGUUGGUGUUUUAUUGCAGAAAUUUAGAGGUAUGUAACAGAUAAGAUAAGUUCAACUGAUUACUUGCCGAAUAGGUAACCAUUUUUUUGGCGAAAGAACCAUUAUUAUUUUUUAGUUGUAACAGACUAUCUGUCCCUCUGUUCAUUGUAUAAAUAUGUCUUUGAAUGCCCCCCAAAUACAUUAUUUAUAGUCUAUUCACAAACAAUAUUAUUUUCUGUCUUUUAUUAACCAUGCAAGUAGCAACUUCCCUUUCUUACAGAAACUGAAACACAAAGUUUGCUACCAAUGUUUUACAUUUUGCAGAUUAUGUUCAUUCUUUUUUGUCAGUUUAUGUAAUGAUCCGAAGAGCACCAUUCUUUUACCAUCCCUAAAAAAUACCAAAGUUCAUGUACAGGGAUGCACUUUUUGGGCACAAUUUACCUUAAUUAAUGAUCGGUGCACAGGUACAAUUCAUGCAAAUCCAUAUGAAAAAUCAUACUGUACAUGCUGAAUUGAUAGUAUUGUUAUCUCUAAUGUAAAAUUUGUGCCCCUCAGCAGUAGCUACAAUUAUAUCACCUUUAGAAAAGUACAUGAUAUUAUCUUUUUAUAUGAUAAAAUACAAUAUAUUAUCUGUUACACUUGAAAAUAUAAUUGUUGGGAUGGAUCUACUCAUGUAUGUUUUAUAUCCUUCCAAAAUUCCCGCGGCAACGCGCGGGGUAUUAUCUAGUUUCAUUCCAGUUGUCGGUGUCCACACUUUUUCAUUGUAUCAUCCAUGUUUAAUUUAUUUUCUCGCUUUCUUCUUGUGUGUUGGAAAAACUUUAAGAAAAUCCCAAAAAUAUGUAUCUUGCUUCUUUUUUAUUUUUCUUUCUAGUUCAAAUUAUUGUAGUACUAAAAAGAAAACCCAAAAGUUUUCCAUGUUCUUCUUUUACUUGUUGGAAGCUUUCCCGUGUAAAUAGUUUUUUUCGUUUUUGCUUUUUCCUUUUUGGUUUGCUUGCUUUCGAAAAACCAAAAACUCCAAAAAUAUUUCAGUGUGUUUCUCUGAAUUUCUUUAUCUUUUAUCGAGUCAUACCGAGGAGAAGACCACGAUGAAAAUGUUGAGUGGCUCCCAUUUGCAUUGUUGAUCUAACAAAGAGCUCAUAUUACCUUGUCUUCUCCUCUUGAAUAAAAUGUUUGCAGAUUCCAGCUUAGUCCAGAGCACUCUUGCACUAUUAUUAUUUUAAAUCGUUCGGUCGUGCAAGUGAAAGGCAAUAACGAUGAUAUUGGAUGAACUGGCCGUGGUAGAGAGAAACGGGUAUGAACUCGACUUGUUCUAUUUUUGUAAAUAUGUUUAACCUAGUAUCCAUGCUUCAACCUAUUAUGAUCAAACAUGUUUGCAAUGACAAUUAGAAAUUAUAGUUUCUCAUGCCAUGCAUAAGUAGUUAGGAGUGAAUAAUGACUUAUCUUGGACAUCAACAUUGCGUUAAAAUGAUUGUGAUGUAGUAUGAUGAUAUGGUAUCCUCCUCUGAAUGUUCAAGUGGCUUGACUUGGCACAUGUUCAUGCAUGUAGUUGAAUCAAAACCAACAUAACCUCUAUGAUAUUUAUGUUCAUGAUGUUCAUAUCCUACUCAUGCUAGUAUCCAAUGUUACUUAUGCAUAAUGCAUAUUCAUGACCGUUGUUGCUCUCUAGCUGGCCGCUUCUCAACCUAUUUGCUAGCCUUAGCCUGUACUAAGUGAGAACUCUGCUUGUACAUUAAAAACCUGAAACCCAAGUUAUUCCAGAUGAGUCCAUCAUACCUACCUAUAUGCGGUAUUACCCUGCCGUCCUAAGUAAAUUUGUAUGUGCCACGACAGCAGGUAGUCGGUAUCUUCCAUCCUAAGCGGGUUAUUCUCAGGUCGAGUGUUUAUUCACUUGCCAUCGCACGAGAAAAGGGCGGUAAUAGGGAUGCCCAGUCCCAAACUGAAAAAAGAAAAGAUCUUACAAAUAAUCAAACAAAAACUCCCAAUGGAGUCAUAACCUUUACAUUUCCGCUUGGGAACCGCUACUAGCAUGCUUAGCAUGGAAGAUAUUGAUAACUGAUGGUCAUGAAGUGAAUGAGAAGGGUGCAUGUCUCAAAAUAUCAUUUACCUCUAUCUUAAAAACUUGAGCUUUGGCACCUCUGCAAAUCACUGCUUCCCUCUGCGAAGAGACUAUCUAUUUACUUUUAUGUUGUGUCAUCACCUUCUCAAAUAAGCGCCAGAACCUGAGAGCACUGCUGUCAUGCUGAUGCAUUGUGUAUAGCUAAUGUUGGAUGCAUCAUGACUGGAUCUUUUCUACCAUGAAUUACAAUGUUUAUUCGCUGCUUGAACCUUGGGGGUGCUCUGCAUUUAUGUUUUGCGGUCUCAGAAAGGGCUAGCGAGAUACCAUUAUUGUCAUAUUAUAUCAUGGUUGUUUUGACAACAUGUUGCUUUUGAGAUAUCUUAUUAUUGCUCUCUAGUUGUUUAUGUCAUUGAUAUGAGUUAAUAUAAUUUUAAGAGUUAUUGUCAACAUGGUUAGAUAUAAUCCUUGCUGAAAACCUGGGUGCUAUUCAAGCUUAUUUAUGAAACAAGAGCAAAAGAGUUCAUAAAAGUUUCUCUUUUUCACUUUCAGUUUAUCAACUGAAUUGCUUGAGGACAAGCAAGGUUUAAACUUGGGGGAGUUGAUACGUCUCCAACGUAUCUAUUUUUCCUAACGCUUUUCCUCUUGUUUUGGACUCUAAUUUGCAUGGUUUGAAUGAAACUAACCCCGGACUGAUGUUGUUUUCAGCAGAACUGUGUUGUUUUUUGCAGAAAUAAAAAUUCUCGGAAUUGAACGAAACUUUGCGAGGAUUUUUUAUAUCAAAUAAGAGAAUUUCUGGAUCCAGGAGGUACCUGAGGAGGGCACCUAGGUGGGCACAACCCCCCAGAGCGCGCCAGCCCCCCCAAACGCGCCCUGGUGGAUGCUGCCCACCUGGUGGCCCCGCUGACCCUCAAACCGACGCUAUAAAAUCCCAUAUUUCCAAAAAAAAAUCAAGCAGGAAGAAUUAUCGUGUUUCACGAGACGGAGCUGCCGCCUUCUCCUGUUCUUCAUUGGGAGGCCAGAUCUGGAGUCCGUUUGGGGCUCUGGAGAGGGGGAUCUUCGAUCUUCGUCAUCACCAACACAUCUCCAUCGCCAAUUCCAUGAUGCUCCCCACCGGGAGUGAGUAAUUCCUUCGUAGGCUCGCUGGCCGGUGAGGAGUUGAAUGGGAUUCAUCAUGUAAUCGAGUUAGUUUUGUUAGGGCUUGAUCCCUAGUAUCCAUUAUGUUUUGAGAUUGAUGUUGCUAUGACUUUGCCAUGCUUAAUGCUUGUCACUUUGCCCGGCUGCCAUGAUUUCAGAUCCGAACUGUUUAUGUUAUCACCAUUAUAUCCAUGUUCUAGAUCCAAUCUUGCAAGUUAUAGUCACCUACUACAUGUUAUAAUCCGGCAACCCCGGAGUGACAAUAGCCGGGACCACUCCCGAUGAUGGCCGUAGUUUGAGGACUUCAUGUAUUCACCUUGUGUUAAUGCUUUGUUCCGGUCCUCUAUUAAAAGAGGCCUUAAUAUCCCUUAGUUUCCAAUAGGACCCUGCUGCAACGGGAGGGUAGGACAAAAAAUAUCAUGCAAGUUCUUUUCAUAAGCACAUAUGACUAUUUACGGAAUACAUGCCUAUAUUAUAUUUAUGAACUGAAGCUAGUGCCAUAUCGCCCUAGAUUAUAAUUGUCUCAUGAUGAAUAUCAUCCAACGAGUCACUGAUCCAAUGCCUACGAAUUUAUCAUAUAUUAUUCUUGCUAAGCUACUACUGUUGCUACUGCUAUCGUUACUACUACAAUAUCACUGUUAUCAUUGUUACUGUUACCGUUACUACUGCUGCUAUCAUCAAAACUAUCAUAUUACUGUGCUACUAAUCAUUUUGCUGCAGAUAAUUAAUCUCCAGGUGUGGUUGAAUUGACAACUCAGCUGCUAAUACCUUCAAAUAUUCUUUGGCUCCCCUUGUGUCGAAUUUAUAAAUUUGGGUUGAAUACUUUACCCUCGAAAACUGUUGCGAUCCCCUAUACUUGUGGGUUAUCAACCUUAGAGUCCUCAAGCAUCUCUAGCUUAUAUGACACUACGUCGAUAGCUUGUAGAAUCUUGAAUGGACCGAAGUAUUUGAAGGAGAGCUUGUGAUUAGCUCGUCGCUCCACGGAAGUUUAAACAUAGACGAAGAUGAAAUCCCUUGGUUGGAAUGUUUUGUCUGUGCGGCGCUUGUGUGUCUAUACUUUCAUGAUGUGCCGAGCUAGAUGGAGGUGUUGCUUCAAAACUUGAUACAUGAAUUUGCGCUCUUCAAGCCAUUAUUUCAAAGUAGGAAUCUUGCAAGUUGACGUUGCCUCAAUAACCCAGUGUCACAGUUAAUGCCCAUAGAGUGCCAUUAAAGGCAAGGAUUUCAAAGUUGAGUUGUAGCUGGGAUUGUGAAAGAAUUCCACCAAUGAAAGGUAUUGGCUCUAGCAACUUGGACACACGUGAAUGAACCAACGCAAGUAAAUUUCCAAGCACUAGUUCAUGUGUUAUGUCUGGUCAUCCGUCUGUGGAUGACAUGGUGUGCUCAUCUUCAAUUCCAUGCCAAUUCUGCGAAAUUGCGCCUUCCAGAAUUUCUCGUGAAUACAGGUCCCGGUCUAAAUUUAUUGCUUCUAGAAGGCCAUGUAAUUUGUAUGCAUUUUCAAGGUAAUAAUGAGAAAUCUGUUGGGGAACGUAGCAGAAAUUCAAAAAUUUUCCUACGUAUCACCAAGAUCUAUCUAUGGAGAGACCAGCAACGAGUAGAAAGGAGAGUGCAUCUACAUACCCUUGUAGAUCGCUAAGCGGAAGCGUUCAAGUGAACGGGGUUGAUGGAGUCGUACUCGUCGUGAUUCAAAUCACCGAUGAUCAAGUGCUGAACGGACAGCACCUCCGCGUUCAACACACGUACAGCUCGACGAUGUCUCCCACGCCUUGAUCCAGCAAGGAGAGAGGGAGAGGUUGAGGAAGACUCCAUCCAGCAGCAGCACAACGGCGUGGUGGUGAUGGAGGAGCGUGGCAAUCCUGCAGGGCUUCGCCAAGCACCUACGGGAGAGGAGGAGGUGUCACGGGAGGGAGGGAGGCGCCAAGGGCUCAGGUGUGGAUGCCCUCCCUCCCCGCCACUAUAUAUAGGGGCAGGGGAGAGGGGGGAGGCGCAGCCUUGCCCCUUCCUCCAAGGAAGGGGUGCGGCUAAGAAGGGGGGAGGAGUCCAUCCUCCCCAAGGCACCUCGGAGGUGCCUUCCCCCUUUAGGACUCUCCCCUUUUUCCUAUAUCUUGGCGCAUGGGCCUCUAGGGGCUGGUGCCCUUGGCCCAUGUAGGCCAAGAUGCACCCCCUACAGCCCAUGUGGCCCCCGGGGCAGGUGGCCCCACCCGGUGGGCCCCCGGGACCCUUCCGGUGGUCCCGGUACAAUACCGAUGACCCCGAAACUUGUCCCGAUGGCCGAAACAGGACUUCCUAUAUAUAAAUCUUUACCUCCGGACCAUUCCGGAACUCCUCGUGACGUCCGGGAUCUCAUCCGGGACUCUGAACAACAUUCGGUAACCACAUACAAGCUUCCUUUAUAACCCUAGCGUCAUCGAACCUUAAGUGUGUAGACCCUACGGGUUCGGGAGACAUGCAGACAUGACCGAGACGUUCUCCGGUCAAUAACCAACAGCGGGAUCUGGAUACCCAUGUUGGCUCCCACAUGUUCCACGAUGAUCUCAUCGGAUGAACCACGAUGUCAAGGACUCAAUCGAUCCCGUAUACAAUUCCCUUUGUCUAGCGGUAUUUUACUUGCCCGAGAUUCGAUCGUCGGUAUACCGAUACCUUGUUCAAUCUCGUUACCGGCAAGUCACUUUACUCGUUCCGUAACACAUCAUCUCGUGAUCAACUCCUUGGUCACAUUGCGCAUAUGAUGAUGUUCUACCGAGUGGGCCCAGAGAUACCUCUCCGUUUACACGGAGUGACAAAUCCCAGUCUCGAUCCGCAUAAAACAAUAGAUACUUUCGGAGAUACCUGUAGUGCACCUUUAUAGUCACCCAGUUACGUUGUGACGUUUGAUACACCCAAAGCACUCCUACGGUAUCCAGGAGUUACACGAUCUCAUGGUCAAAGGAAGAGAUACUUGACAUUGGCAAAGCUCUAGCAAAUGAACUACACGAUCUUUUGUGCUAGUUUUAGGAUUGGGUCUUGUCCAUCACAUCAUUCUCCUAAUGAUGUGAUCCCGUUAUCAACGACAUCCAAUGUCCAUAGCCAGGAAACCAUGACUAUCUGUUGAUCACAACGAGCUAGUCAACUAGAGGCUCACUAGGGACAUAUUUUGGUCUAUGUAUUCACACGUGUAUUACGAUUUCCGGAUAAUACAGUUAUAGCAUGAAUAAAAGACAAUUAUCAUGAACAAGGAAAUAUAAUAAUAAUACUUUUAUUAUUGCCUCUAGGGCAUAUUUCCAACAAAAUCUUGGCAGUCGUGAAUGGGUGAUUAUAUGUGAAUUUAUCCACUACCACGAGAAUGCAAUUUGACUUGCUUGAUUGUGGCAAUCCAUCAAUGAACUCCAUGGUUACGACUUGCUAGGAUCAUUCUGGUAACGGUUGCAGCUCGAGAUGACCUAGUACUUUAGGCAUUCAGGUUUGGACUAUCUAUGAAUUUGCCGUUUCAUCUUGGACCAAGCAAAUAGUCAAUGGAGGCAUCGAUAUGUAAUUGGGAUGUCAUAAUGACUUCCGACUGAACUAUCAUGGAACGCACGAGGCUUACAUUGUUGUAGCUCUAGAGCUCGACCAAGCCAAAGUAUGUUUCGAAAAUACAACAGUUCAUUUGAGAGGGAGAAUCGUUGCAUCAAGUCUAGUUGAACUGCAAGACUAGCAAGGAUCCUCUGAACUUGAGCAUUACUGGCAUAACUGGACAUAGUGUCAUCAAGCCAUGGAGGCUGGUAGGCGGAAAUUGUUGUUAGUCGACGGUCUGAAUGCAGUCGUCAGGAUAGAGCAUGUCCUUUUGGUAGCAAGUGGCAUUCUCGACACUGGUUGACAUUGCAGCCACAACCGUGCAUCACAGGUUCCCGAUAGAGCGUGCUACGUGUUCGAAGUAAAAGACCAAGAGAGAUUCAAGAACAACAAAUGAAUCAGGUGUCCAUCUUUAUUGAUGAUCACAUUUAUAUGUAGGCCAUGUUUGCAUUGAGCGGGAGAUCCACUAUUGGUUACCAUGUUUGGAGCCUUCAUAUACUCAUAUAUGUUGUAUCUGAAUUCGCUAAAAUUACACAAUGUAAGGUGUACUUUUUCUAAUCUUUAUAAUUCAUUUUUUACCCCUCCACCGCACACGAUAUAAGAAAACAUUAUCUAGAGAAAACUUGUACAAGCCAAACUCAUGCAUGAAUCGUAGUUAGGAAAACGAAAUCUCCAGCCAUUAGUUAGAAAAAACAUGCUAGUCAAUCUUCCAAUAGUUAGUUAGGGAAUCCUCAACGUGCACCAUCAAAACACCCGCAUAUGUCUGAACCACGUGGUCUGGACAAUGAAAGCCAUUCAACCUGGGUCUGUAUCGGUCCGCCGGAUAGUUUGGAUGCAUAUUUUUUCGCAAAUCAGAGACAAAGUGGGGGUUUUGCGAGCGUUUGGAUAGCUGCCACGCAUGCGUCUGACCACCCUGACCCACCCGAAACACCCAUCUGCGCCCGGGCACGUUCUCACCAGGCGCUAGCUGCCUGCAUUUAUGCCGCGGGAGAGUGGCCGCUCCGCAUUAACGCCGGCACGGGACGGAUGCGACCUCUCAAUGCCGACAUUUAAGUGCCCGACAGCAAAGAGAGCACCGCCCGCUGUGCACCCGACAGAACACGUCUCUCACUGCGUUCAAACGGCCACAGACUGUCCUCCUUCCUCCAUAAAACCCGCGCGUGUGCCGAGAAACCUACUCCGGCCACACGUUCGUUCGUGAGCCGUCAGACAUUAAACACAACGUCGGUUGGCUCCGACCAUCCGCCCUCUAUUUAAAUGGUGCCAGACGCUAGGCGAAAAUCGCACCACACUCCGCUCCCAUCUCCUCCUUGCACCAUUUUCUUCACAAUCUCCAUGGCAUCCAGUGAGCAGUAAGAGGGGUUCUCCGACAUAAAAGCCGGCCGGGUAGCCCACCAAGCCCGCCUGAUAUGAGCUAGGCAACUCGCUACUCCACCUCCGUCGCCGCCCCAGGCCGUCAGUACCAUGGGCGAGGUUGUAGGCGGACAAAAUUAUACCUCCAGAGUUGAACGAGCUCCACUUUUAGUUGAAGUAUGUCCGAAAUGUAAUGAAUCUCGCCAGGUUUAUAUGAAAUACACCGCGUUUGCAUGAAUUUCGUCUGGUUAGUUCAAGCAAUGGUUGAAAUGUAUGCAGGGAGCAUUGGAUGGCGGCCUCCGGCAUCAAUGUCCAAAUUGGACCCCCACCCCCCCCGCGUCCACGGACAGAUGCCGGAGCAAAUUUAUGGGUCAGCGUUGGAGAUGCCCUUAGGGAAAAUACAUGCGUUGCUAAUAUUUAGGGAUAUGUGGUGUGCACCAUCGAAUUAGUCAAGGGUAGUUUCAUCAUAAAUCUUAUAUACCUAAGAGAGUGAUCUCCACUACUUUAUUUAUCUCAACAUGCAGUCCACAUGAGACCAUGCCAUAUAAGCAAAAACUAAUUUCACUUACAACCAUGUCAUGACUAAACCCUACCGAUGUCGCCGCAUGGUUCACACAAAGAAAACAACGCAUCAUAGUUCCUUUGUUUUUUCCUAUGGAAUUAAACUGAUAACCUGGGCUGCGCGUUCUACCCAUCGGGUUUUAAGCCAACAACAUGGGUGUAAGAAGCUACUAAAUUUUUUACACGUAGGCUGCCUAGGCUGAUAGUGCCAGUAGCUGGAUUGAUUAUUCCUAGUAGCCCACGUUGCUAGCGUAGGCCUAACUUUUUUUUGAAAGACCCGGCUGAUCACCGGCUUCAUUGAUUUAGCAGAAAGCAGUGGAAACAUGUAGAUCAAGUGAUCAAGUGGAUGAAAUUAGAAAAGUACAGGUGGCUCUCCUCUCUUAUGGCUAUUUUUCACUAAUUGUGUCCCCGAAGGAAGGCUCCAUGCAUUUGGCUCCUGCCAAUCUCCAUUGCUCGAUAUUGCUCCUAAUUGCUGCGACGACAUCUUUCACCCGAGGCGUUUUUCCUCGGAAGACGCAGUGGUUUCUUUCCUUCCAUAAUUCCCACGCGAUCAUGAUGAUCAGAGAUCUGACUCCGCGCCUGUUAGCAGGAAUAGUCUUGUUGAUGAGAAGAUGGCAAGACUGGGCCGGGCUGAGCAGAGGUCUCGCUCAUGUCGCUAGCGAGGAACAACCAAACCAGCUGGUGCAUUUCCCCCAGACCUGCUACGAGAAACUGCAGCCCCAUAUUAGAUGUGUAGAUAUUUCCAAAUUCCUGAUGCACAGGGGGUGGAAGUAGCCGUUGGGCCAGCCUCUUCUCUGCAAUCUAUCGUUGCACAAGAGGCGGUCCCUGACGAGGAGCCACAUGAACAUUUUGAGCUUGUUGGGAGCCCAGACCUUCCAAAUGAGGCUGUUGAAAUUUGUGUUGGGGGCUGCAGGAAUUGCAUCUGGUAAGCCGACUUAUUUCAUCUUCAUGCUACCCUCUUCUCUUUUUCUCGAGACGGUUCCCUCACAACCCUUUCGUCCCCUCAAGUACUCCUCCGUUGAUUGAUUUCUAUCAUUCUCCUUAUCUUCUCCACCAUACCUCCUUCAAUUGCUCUCAUCUAUCCCACUAUUUUGCAAAAGAGACCGCUGGAUUUCUGAUUCUUAUCUUCAGCUUCUCCACUAAACAAAUGUGUUGCUUCAAAUCCCAUCAUCUACACCAAAGCUUCGUAUCUGUGCCCCUUACUGCCCCCAUGGGUUUACAACCGACGUGCUGGACAUGCAAAAUUUGUAGGAGGCGUCAACACCAACCUCCCGAACACUGGUGAAGCGCUUGAUGGCCCGCGGGUAGUGCUGGUCUGCGACCCCGGCUCCGGCAAGAGUAGACUUAUCAUCUUCCUCGCCUGCGAGGCCCUGCCGCCCCACGGCGUACCGCAUACCUGCGUCUCCAAGGAUAUCUCUUCCCAAAAUAUGCUCCCCCAAUCCAUUCUGCUUCUUUAGUUUGAUUGUGUUUCAAAGUACGCAUUUUGUUACAGCUUUGAGUUUGAAUUUUGCAGCACACGACGGAGAUGAUUACUGAAUGCUAGGCGACGACCACGAUGGUGUUGAGAAGCCCCUAGAACGACUCAACUCCUUCUUGUUCCCCAAGUUCGGGUGCUCCACAUGAUGUUGCCUAUCAACCUCUAAUGCUCGGGUUGGUACCGCUCGCCUAAAUCGUCCAUCAUCAAUGAUUUUGCUUUCUGAGAUUGAGUUCUUUGAGCUACAUGCCCAUUCCUCAAGACCUUGAGCCAAUUGACUGCUGGAUGGUAAUAACAAAACCACUAUAUCCAGCAACGUUUUCGCUCUAAGGUUUCACCACUUGUAUGAAAGUGACCCCUGGGUAAACCGGUACAGGGCACGUGUAUUUUUUUUGGUAAAUGACCAUGUAGAAUUACACGGUGGUUGUAGAUUGUCGAUCAAAAUUUUCUUAACCUGUGUACCGAUUGGACUGUGCGCUUAGCGAAUUCAGUUGCAUGUGGGCCAACAUGGCCCGUUGACUUCGCCGCCUGAGAUUUCUUCGGUGGAUUCGUACAUGUGUAGGCUUCCUUCUCUUUCUGGGCUUUUUCCUUAGGGUUGACGUGUGGUGGCGUGCGUUAGCGUUUUUUGUGCCGCUUACCAGUCUCCCUUCGAUCUGUAAUCUAGAGGCUGCCGCUGCUUCUGAUCGGUGCCGCUUCCAUCGUUCCAUCUAGAGACGUCGUUUACGUCUUCGUUUUCGUUCGAUCCACCGCCGUACUGUUCCUAUAUAAGGGCUCAAUCUCUGCCCCGAUUUCUCCUCCUCAUUGCAACAACCAUGCAUCGUUUCCCGCGGUGGAGGGCGAUGACGAGAGUAACUGUGGCAGAGAUGGGAUGCGACUAAUUCUGCUCGCCGAUCUCGCUGGGAGGCGUCUGGUGCAGCAACAGGACGUGGAUCUCCUGCGGUGCGUCCGUGCAUGCAGCGAGCCGUAGGUGGGCAUGGAGCUUCGGAGCUCCCUGUCCGUUCUCAUGGGGCCAGCCAGACACGGUGGACAUGGUGGCAACAGCUAGCAGUAGCGAACUAGCGUCCGCCAGUUCAGUUGCGGCGAUUCAGCUGCAUGGUAGCAUUACCGGCGGGAGCGGCAGGGUGAAGGAGCGGACGUGCAGGCGUUGCGGCUGUACAAGGACUCAAACAGCGCCGGCGAAAGCGGUGGUGGCAUUCUGGUGCACGUCUGGGCGACUGACCUCCGCGGCGUUGCACGAGAUUCCAUCGACUACCCGGCUUCUAAGGCACGUACGCGGCUCCCAGCGCGGAGGACGUGAAGGUUCUUGGCUCGACGGUUCUCCUCUGCGCGCUGCGACAUCGGAUGCCUGCAUCCUGCUCGUUCUCUUGAUUCUAUGGUGCCUAGGCUAGUAUUUUCUAUAUAUAACAUUUUUCUGUCAAUUAGAUUAACUAAAUUGGGUUCCGUUAUUCUUCUAGGUAUAUGUUCCCUGAACUGUAGAAUUAGCAGUUCAAUUGCCCAUUUGAUGAUUCUUCUACACUAUAUGUUCCCUGCACGACCAUUCUAAUAGGCAUCAAUCAUUUUAGGUUGGACCUUUCUUGAUUGAUGUGGCUCCUUUUAAUUUUAGCUCUUCUACUUUCACCUUUGUUGAAAAUACUGAGGGUUCUCAAUUUUUUUUUUCAGGAAUAUACUCCUGAAUGUUAUUGAGUGGCAUUUUCUCCAUGUAGUGCUUUUAUCAUCGCGCCAAAAAAUAAUACACCUUAUAAAAAAAUGAAAAUCCUAGACCUACGGGUCUAUAUAACUCUUAAGUGACGCGUAAGUUUUCUUUUCUUAAUAAUUUCUCCCCCUGAAUUUCAAGGUGGGGUCAAUCCCCCAAUUAAUGAUAGUCAUCCAAAUCAGCCGCUACGUAACAUACAUAGAAAACAUCGUGUAGAUGUAGCAUUGCUCUAUAUAGAAGCUGUUGGAGUACAAUAAUCCUAUAUCCACGUAGAGCUACAAAAGGUUUUACAUAAUCUUCCUAAAUAGUUUUCUGCCUCCUUGAAUUUCAGGUGGGUGGGGCCCUUCCUCCUCCUUCUCCAAUUAUGAUUUUUUCUUUCAGGGAAAAAAAUUCCAUUACUCAAGGAGGCAUCUCAGCCAUAACCAAGUUUACAAGAAAGUCCGGCCCUCCUGCGAACUAGACUGCAGUACGGGAGGUACUACGGCCAUACGCAGCCAACACAUGACUAGUGUUGUUCUGCCAAUGGCUACAUUGCGCAAAUACAACCUCUCUAGCCUCAAGGACUGCUAGACUGCUAAUCUCUUCAACGAGAGACCGGUGCUGCGAUCUAUCUGUCGUGGGUGCCUUGAGCAUCGCCACAGCCUCCGCACUAUCCAUCUCAACAAUGAUAGGCAUCGUCGUCCUGUGUAAGGCAAGGUCUAGGCCUUCUCUACACGCCGAGAGCUCCGCCUCCAGCGCACUCUCACAUGUGCGGAUUUCUCUGCAUGCACUAUAUAUGAUAUCCCCUCUAUCAUCUCGAAGGAUCAUGCCUCCUCCCGCUGCUCCUGUGGCUGCAACAAAGUUGCCGUCUGUGUUAAGUUUGGCCCAGCCCGCACUAGGGGGGGCCCAGCUCGGCCGUGCCGUCGCUAUCCUGCAGGGCUGCACGCGCGGCAGGCCAUCGCAAACCACCAUCUUCCCCUUCUCCAUAUUGGCAUGUGGAUGUUGCUGGAUGCAUAAUAGUGAAGUAAUGUAGCCAUGUAAGAAUCUACAAGAGGCCUCAGCAGGAGGUGGCAGUUUGUCAUGGGUAAUCUCAUUGCGAACAUGCCAUACUCUCCACAUGAUCAUGAGGACCACCAGCCUCGCCGUCUCAUCCAGGGGUUCCAACAGGGCGAAUAGCCACUCUGGCCCCGUGUCCCGGAUGGUCUCCACCUUGGGUAUGUUCCAGUCCAUCGCCAUGACCCUUCAUAGCUCCUUUGCCAGUGGGCACCUGCAAAGCGCGUGGAAUUCGUCCUCGCGUUCAACACCACAUAGGAGGCAUACGUCAGUAUCCUCGAGGUGCCGUGAAGCCUUGUUGGUCCAAGUAGCAGUGAAUUUGUGAUAACCCUCCAUGCAAACACACGUACCUUAGGGGGAGCAGGGCACCCCCAUAUGAUCUUCCAGAUGGCGCGACGACCAUCCGAUGCCCUGCUCAUGGCGGUGGCCAAUGGACGCUCGCGCUCGUCCAUUGCCAGGCGGUACGCGGAUCGGACGAUGAAGAUGUCGUUCUUCUCCGGUGCCCAGGCGAUGAUAUCAUCGGUGACGCGUGGCGAGGUCUGGAUGCUAGUGAUGACGACGACAUCCGCCGGAAGGAAGUAGCGCUGUAGUAGACUGGUGCGCCAAGAGCCCUCGUCGUCGAGGAGCUCGGCCACCCUCCGCAGGCGGCAAGUGCCCUGCUGAGUGAUGGGCUGACGCGAGGGCUCCCGUGGCAACCAUCGGUCCCACCAUAUGCAAAUCUGCUGACCGUUCCCAACACGCCAUAUGAUGCCCUUUUUCAGGAGCUCGAGGCCAUGUUGGAUAGCCUGCCAGGUCAGGGAGGAGUUCCCCAAGAACACCGUGUCCUCAAGGCGUCCAUCAUGAUAGUAUCGGGCCUUUAACACCUGCGCACACAAACUGGUGGGUUUAGUAAGCAAACGCCAUGCCUGCCUCGCUAGGAGAGCCUGGUUAAAAAGGCGGAAAUCUCUGAACCACAGACCACCCUUGCUUUUCUGAGCCUGGAUCUUUGGCCAAGCAAGCCAGUGUGUCUUCCUCUUGCCCUCAGAGGUGCCCCACCAGAAGUUGCGAACCAUUCUAUUCAGGUCAUCAAAAACUGACAUAGGAAGCUUAAAAACACCCAUAAUAUAAGUGGGAAUAGCUUGGGCAAUUGCCUUUAUCAUGGUUUCCUUGCUGGCGAGAGAGAGGGUGUCACCCCAAGCAAUAAUCCUCUUCAAUAACCGAGAUUGCAGAUUCUGAAAUUUACCUCGUGACAUGCGUCCUUCGGGUGUUGGAAGCCCUAGAUAUUUCUCCUCAAACGUGACAGUACCUAUGUUUAAUGUAGUUCUCACCGCCUCCUGUUUGUCCAGAGCACAAGCUGUACCAAAGAGAGCACUACAUUUGGCCAGAUUAAUAAAUUGUCUGGUGGCAUUAGCAUAUGUGUUUAGCACUUCCUGGACCUUUUGGGCUUCUUCCUCCUCUGCUUUAAAAAACAGUAAUGUAUCAUCUGCAAACAGAAGAUGAGACACCCAUGGAGCUCUGCGGCACACUUUUAGCGGGGUAAAGUCACCUUUUUCUUCUCCUUCUUUCAAGAGAGCAGAUAGACCAUCAGCCACAAACAGGAAUAAAAACGGGGACAAAGGAUCACCUUGCCGUAACCCACGUGACGGUGCGAACGAUUCCAGAAGGGUUCCAUUGAAUUUAACUGUAUAUCUCAUCGAGGUGACGCAAGCCAUAAUCCAGUCCACCCACCGGCGAGCGAAACCCAUCUUUUUCAUCAUUCGCUCCAAGAAGAUCCAGUCCACUCUAUCGUAUGCUUUGGAGAGGUCCAGUUUAUAUGCGCAGAAACUUUUAUUUGGGUCUUUCUCCUGCUGAAUAAAAUGAAAGCACUCAAAUGCAAUCAAAGCAUUAUCAGUGAUCAUACGUUCAGGGACAAAGGCGCUCUGCUCAGGGGAGAUAAUAUCAUCCAAUAUAGGCCUCAAAUGGUUUACCAGACAUUUUGCCACCACCUUGUAGAUGACGUUACAUAAGCUGAUUGGGCGGAACUCCGUGAGCCUCUCUGGGUUAUCCACCUUCGGGAUGAGAACAAUCGACGUGUUGUUCACCCCCUCAGGCAUCAUCCAUGUCCAAAAGAAUUGCUUGACCCCUGCAAUUACAUGUUCUCUCAUCACGUCCCAAUUACGUUGGAAGAAGCGCGCGGGGAAGCCAUCCGGACCCGGCGCCUUUAGCGGUCCAAUCUGAAACAGAGCAUCGGCAAUUUCCUUGUCUGAAAACUUUGCACACAGUCCAUCAUUCAUGCGGUCAGAUACACGGGGUUUAAUAAGAUCAAUUACUGGAUCCACACAAAGAGAGGGGUCAGCAGUAAAUAGUUUGGCAAAAUAAGAAGUGGCCAUGGCCGCCAUGGGCGCAUGGUCCUGAUGUGUGACUCCAUCAUCAUCAAUGAGAGAUUUAAUACGGUUUUUGCGUGUGCACCAAACUGCCUUUCGAUGGAAGAACUGGGUGUUGCGGUUCCCUUCCCGUAGCCAUGCAAUGCGGGAUCUCUGCAUCCACAACAUCUCCUCCCUAUAGAGCAGUUCGUUCAUCUUGUCUGUCGCCUCCCGUAUGUCCUCUCUAUCUGCAUUCAUAGACAUAAGCUCCUCGAGAUGAGAGCGGGAUUUGUUAAUUUCCCGAAUGACAUUUCAAACUUUUUUCGGCUCCACUCUUGCAGUUUUUUCAUCAUAUUUCCUAGUCCAGAAGCUACAUCACCAAGAUUCAACAUAUAGCCCGACUCAGUCCAAGUGUUCAUAAUUACCUCAGGGAGGGAGGGGUCACGUUUCCACAUAACCUCGUACUGUCUGCACCUUUUGCCCUCUUGUUGGCGCGGCUCCUCUAGCGCGCACUUGAGGAGGAUGGCCAAAUGAUCGGAGCUUGGCGCCACCAAAUGCUCCACCCUUGCUGUUGGGGAACGUUGCAGAAAACAAAAUUUUCCUACUCGUUUCACCAAGAUCAUCUAGGAGUUCAUCUAGCAACGAGUGAUUAGAUGCAUCUACAUACCUUUGUAGAUCGCGCACGGAAGCGUUCAAAAGAACGGUGAUGAUGUAGUCGUACUCGACGUGAUCCAAAUCACCGAUGACCAGCGCCGAACGGACGGCACCUCCGCGUUCAACACACGUACGGGACGGGAGACGUCUCCUCCUUCUUGAUCCAGCAAGGGGGAAGGAGAGGUUGAUGAAGAUCCAGCAGCACGACGGCGUGGUGGUGGAUGCAGGGCGUCACAGCAGCAGGGCUUCGCCGAGACUACGAGGGAGAGACGUAACAGGGGGAGGUGGAGGCGCCAGGGGCUGGUCUAAAAUCCCUCCUCUCCCCCCCACUAUAUAUAGGGGUGCCAGGGGGGGCGCCGGCCCUAGUAGAUGGCAUCUACUAGGGGGGGCGGCGGCCAAGGGGAGGUUUCCCUCCCCCCCAAGGCACCUAGGGGUGCCUUCCACCACAUGGACUCUUCCAUGGUGGAAACCCUAGGCGCAUGGGCCUAUAGGGGCUGGUGCCCUUGGCCCAUCUAGGCCAAGGCGCACCCCCUACAGCCCAUGUGGCCCCCCGGGACAGGUGGCCCCACCCGGUGGACCCCCGGGACCCUUCCGGUGGUCCCGGUACAAUACCGAUAACCACGAAACUUGUCCCGAUGCCCGAAAUAGCACUUCCUAUAUAUAAUUCUUUACCUCCGGACCAUUCCGGAACUCCUCGUGACGUCCGGGAUCUCAUCCAGGACUCCGAACAACAUUCGGAUUUCUGCAUAUACAUAUCUUCGUAACCCUAGCGUCACCGAACCUUAAGUGUGUAGACCCUACGGGUUCGGGAGACAAGCAGACAUGACCGAGACGACUCUCCGGUCAAUAACCAACAGCGGGAUCUGGAUACCCAUGUUGGCUCCCACAUGCUCCACGAUGAUCUCAUCGGAUGAACCACGAUGUCGAGGAUUUAAUCAAUCCCGUACGCUAUUCCCUUUGUCUAUCGAUAUGUUACUUGCCCGAGAUUCGAUCGUCGGUAUCCCAAUACCUCGUUCAAUCUCAUUACCGGCAAGUCACUUUACUCGUACCGUAAUGCAUGAUCCCGUGACCAGACACUUGGUCACUCUGAGCUCAUUAUGAUGAUGCAUUACCGAGUGGGCCCAGUGAUACCUCUCCGUCAUACGGAGUGACAAAUCCCAGUCUUGAUCCAUGUCACCCAACAGACACUUUCNNNNNNNNNNNNNNNNNNNNNNNNNNNNNNNNNNNNNNNNNNNNNNNNNNNNNNNNNNNNNNNNNNNNNNNNNNNNNNNNNNNNNNNNNNNNNNNNNNNNNNNNNNNNNNNNNNNNNNNNNNNNNNNNNNNNNNNNNNNNNNNNNNNNNNNNNNNNNNNNNNNNNNNNNNNNNNNNNNNNNNNNNNNNNNNNNNNNNNNNNNNNNNNNNNNNNNNNNNNNNNNNNNNNNNNNNNNNNNNNNNNNNNNNNNNNNNNNNNNNNNNNNNNNNNNNNNNNNNNNNNNNNNNNNNNNNNNNNNNNNNNNNNNNNNNNNNNNNNNNNNNNNNNNNNNNNNNNNNNNNNNNNNNNNNNNNNNNNNNNNNNNNNNNNNNNNNNNNNNNNNNNNNNNNNNNNNNNNNNNNNNNNNNNNNNNNNNNNNNNNNNNNNNNNNNNNNNNNNNNNNNNNNNNNNNNNNNNNNNNNNNNNNNNNNNNNNNNNNNNNNNNNNNNNNNNNNNNNNNNNNNNNNNNNNNNNNNNNNNNNNNNNNNNNNNNNNNNNNNNNNNNNNNNNNNNNNNNNNNNNNNNNNNNNNNNNNNNNNNNNNNNNNNNNNNNNNNNNNNNNNNNNNNNNNNNNNNNNNNNNNNNNNNNNNNNNNNNNNNNGGGAGAGGUUUAGUCAACGGAUCUGCUAUAUUCAGGUCCGUAUGUACUUUACAAAUCUCUAUGUCUCCAUCUUGAACAUUUUCACGAAUGGAGUUGAAGCGACGCUUGAUGUGCCUUGUCUUCUUGUGAAACCUGGGCUCCUUGGCAAGUGCAAUAGCUCCAGUGUUGUCACAGAAGAGCUUGAUAGGCCCCGACGCAUUGGGUAUGACUCCUAGGUCGGUGAUGAACUCCUUCACCCAUAUUGCUUCAUGUGCUGCCUCCGAGGCUGCCAUGUACUCCGCUUCACAUGUAGAUCCCGCCACGACGCUUUGCUUGCAACUGCACCAGCUUACUGCCCCACCAUUCAAAAUAUACACGUAUCCGGUUUGUGACUUAGAGUCAUCCAGAUCUGUGUCGAAGCUAGCGUCGACGUAACCCUUUACGACGAGCUCUUCGUCACCUCCAUAAAUGAGAAACAUUUCCUUAGUCCUUUUCAGGUACUUCAGGAUAUUCUUGACCGCUGUCCAGUGUUCCUUGCCGGGAUUACUUUGGUACCUUCCUACCAAACUGACGGCAAGGUUAACAUCAGGUCUGGUACACAGCAUGGCAUACAUAAUAGAACCUAUGGCUGAGGCAUAGGGGAUGACGCUCAUCUCUUCUAUAUCUUCUGCCGUGGUCGGACAUUGAGCUGAGCUCAAUUUCACACCUUGUAACACAGGCAAGAACCCCUUCUUGGAUUGAUCCAUAUUGAACUUCUUCAAUAUCUUAUCAAGGUAUGUGCUUUGUGAAAGACCUAUGAGGCGUCUUGAUCUAUCUCUAUAGAUUUUGAUGCCUAAUAUAUAAGCAGCUUCUCCAAGGUCCUUCAUUGAAAAACUUUUAUUCAAGUAGGCCUUGAUGCUGUCCAAGAGUUCUAUAUCAUUUCCCAUCAAAAGUAUGGCAUCUACAUAUAAUAUGAGAAAUGCUACAGAGCUCCCACUCACUUUCUUGUAAACGCAGGCUUCUCCAUAAGUCUGUGUAAACCCAAAUGCUUUGAUCAUCUCAUCAAAGCGAAUGUUCCAACUCCGAGAUGCUUGCACCAGCCCAUAAAUCGAGCGUUGGAGCUUGCACACUUUGUCAGCAUUCUUAGGAUCGACAAAACCUUCCGGCUGUAUCAUAUACAAUUCUUCCUUAAGGAAACCAUUAAGGAAUGCCGUUUUGACGUCCAUUUGCCAUAUUUCGUAAUCAUAGAAUGCGGCAAUUUCUAACAUGAUUCGGACGGACUUCAGCUUUGCUACCGGUGAGAAAGUCUCAUCGUAGUCAACCCCUUGAACUUGUCGAUAACCCUUAGCGACAAGCCGAGCUUUAUAGAUGGUCACAUUACCAUCCGCGUCUGUCUUCCUCUUAAAGAUCCAUUUAUUUUCUAUGGCUCGCCGCUCAAUGGGCAAGUCAGUCAAAGUCCAUACUUUGUUUUCAUACAUGGAUCCUAUCUCGGAUUUCAUGGCUUCUAGCCAUUUGUCGGAAUUCGGGCCCGCCAUCGCUUCUUCAUAGUUCGAAGGUUCACCGUUGUCUAACAGCAUGAUUUCCAAGACAGGGUUGCCGUACCACUCUGGUGCGGAACGUGUCCUUGUGGACCUUCGAAUUUCAGUAGGGGCUUGAUCAGAAGUAUCUUGAUCAUUGUCAUUAACUUCCUCUCUAGUCGGUGCAGGCACCUCAGGAACAUUUUCUUGAGUUGCGCCUUUUUCUGGUUCAAGAGGUAAUACUUCAUCAAGCUCUACUUUCCUCCCACUUACUUCUUUCGAGAGAAACUCUUUCUCCAGAAAGGACCCAUUCUUGGCAACAAAGAUCUUGCCUUCGGAUCUGAGGUAGAAGGUGUACCCAAUAGUUUAUUUUGGGUAUCCUAUGAAGACGCAUUUUUCCGAUUUGGGUUCGAGCUUUUCAGGUUGAAGUUUCUUGACAUAAGCAUCGCAUCCCCAAACUUUUAGAAACGACAGCUUAGGUUUCUUCCCAAACCACAAUUCAUACGGUGUCGUCUCAACGGAUUUCGACGGAGCCCUAUUUAAAGUGAAUGCGGCAGUCUCUAAAGCAUAGCCCCAAAAAGAAAGCGGUAAAUCGGUAAGAGACAUCAUAGAUCGCACCAUAUCUAACAGAGUGCGAUUACGACAUUCGGACACACCAUUACGCUGAGGUGUUCCAGGCGGCGUGAGUUGUGAAACUAUUCCACAUUUUCUUAAGUGUGCCCCAAACUCGUGACUCAAGUAUUCUCCUCCACGAUCUGAUCGUAGAAACUUGAUUUUCCUGUCACGUUGAUUUUCAACCUCACUCUGAAAUUCCUUGAACUUUUCAAAGGUUUCAGACUUGUGUUUCAUUAAGUAGAUAUACCCAUACCUACUUAAAUCAUUAGUGAGGGUGAGAACAUAAUGAUAGCCACCGCGAGCCUCAACACUCAUUGGACCGCACACAUCAGUAUGUAUGAUUUCCAAUAAGUCGGUUGCUCGCUCCAUUGUUCCUGAGAACGGAGUCUUGGUCAUUUUACCCAUAAGGCAUGGUUCGCAUGUGUCAAAUGAUUCAUAAUCAAGAGACUCUAAAAGUCCAUCAGCAUGGAGCUUCUUCAUGCGUUUGACACCUAUGUAACCAAGGCGGCAGUGCCACAGGUAUGUGGGACUAUCAUUAUCAACCUUACUUCUUUUGGUACUCACAUUAUGAACAUGUGUAGCAUCACGUUCGAGAUUCAUAAAGAACAAACCAUUCACCAUAGGAGCAUGACCACAAAACAUAUCUCUCAUAAAAAUGGAACAACCAUUAUUCUCAGAUUUAAAAGAGUAGCCAUCUCGAAUUAAACGAGAUCCUGAUACAAUGUUCAUGCUCAAAGCUGGCACUAAAUAACAAUUAUUAAGGUUUAAAACUAAUCCCGAAGGGAGAUGCAGAGGUAGCGUGCCGACGGCGAUCACAUUGACCUUGAAACCAUUCCCGACGCGCAUCGUCACCUCGUCCUUUGCCAGUUUCCGCUUAUUCCGCAGCCCCUGCUUUGAGUUACAAAUGUGAGCAACUGCACCGGUAUCAAAUACCCAGGAGCUACUACGGGCACUAGUAAGGUACACAUCAAUUACAUGUAUAUCACAUAUACCUUUUGUUUUGCUGGCCUUCUUAUCCGCUAAGUACUUAGGGUAGUUCCGCUUCCAGUGACCGCUUCCCUUGCAAUAAAAGCACUCAGUCUCGGGCUUGGGUCCAUUCUUUGGCUUCUUCCCGGCAGCUUGCUUGCCGGGCGCGGCAACCUCCUUGCCGUCCUUCUUGAAGUUCUUUUUACCCUUGCCUUUCUUGAACUUAGUGGUUUUAUUGACCAUCAACACUUGAUGUUCCUUUCUGACUUCUACCUCUGCUGAUUUCAGCAUAGCAAAUACUUCAGGAAUGGUCUUUUCCAUCCCCUGCAUAUUGAAGUUCAUCACAAAGCUCUUGUAGCUUGGUGGAAGCGACUGGAGGAUUCUGUCAAUGACCGCAUCAUCCGGGAGAUUAACUCCCAGCUGAGUCAAGCGGUUAUGCAACCCAGACAUAGUGAGUAUGUGCUCACUGACAGAACUGUUUUCCUCCAUCUUACAGCUGAAGAAUUUGUCGGAGACUUCAUAUCUCUCGACCCGGGCAUGAGCUUGGAAAACCAUUUUCAGCUCUUCGAACAUCUCAUAUGCUCCAUGUCUCUCAAAACGCUUUUGGAGCCCCGGCUCUAGGCUGUAAAGCAUGCCGCACUGAACGAGGGAGUAGUCAUCGAAACGUGCCUGCCAAGCGUUCAUAACAUCUUGUUCUGCAGGGAGAACGGGUGCGUCACCAAGCGGUGCUUGCAGGACAUAAUCUUUCUUGGCAGCUAUGAGGAUGAUCCUCAGGUUCCGGACCCAGUCCGUAUAGUUGCUGCCAUCGUCUUUCAGCUUGGUUUUCUCUAGGAACGCGUUGAAGUUGAGGACUACGUUGGCCAUUUAAUCUACAAGACAUAUUGUAAAAUAUUUAGACUAAGUUCAUGAUAAUUAAGUUCAACUAAUCAAAUUAUUAGUGAACUCCCACUUAGAUUAGACAUCCCUCUAGUCAUCUAAGUAUUACAUGAUCCGAGUUAAACUAGACCGUGUCCGAUCAUCACGUGAGACGGACUAGUCAACAUCGGUGAACAUCUUCAUGUUGAUCGUAUCUUCUAUACGACUCAUGCUCGACCUUUCGGUCUUCCGUGUUCCGAGGCCAUGUCUGUACAUGCUAGGCUCGUCAAGUCAACCUAAGUGUUUGCAUGUGUAAAUCUGUCUUACACCCGUUGUAUGUGAACGUCUGAAUAAAACACCCGAUCAUCACGUGGUGUUUUGAAACAGCGAACUGUCGCAACGGUGCACAGUUAGGGGGAACACUUCUUGAAAUUAGUAUGAGGGAUCACCUUAUUUACUACCGUCGUUCUAAGUAAACAAGAUGCAAAACAUGAUAAACAUCACAUGCAAUCAAAUAAUAAACGUGACAUGAUAUGACCAAUAUCACAUAGCUCCUUUGAUCUCCAUCUUGGGGCUCCAUGAUCAUCUUGUCACCGGCUUGACACCAUGAUCUCCAUCAUCAUGAUCUCCAUCAUCGUGUCUCCAUGAAGUUGCUCGCCAACUAUUACUUCUACUACUAUGGCUAACGCGUUUAGCAAUAAAGUAAAGUAAUUUACAUGGCGUUUCUCGAUGACACGCAGGUCAUAUAAAAGAAUAAAGACAACUCCUAUGGCUCCUGCCGGUUGUCAUACUCAUCGACAUGCAAGUCGUGAAUCCUAUUACAAUAGCAUGAACAUCUCAUACAUCACAUAUAGAUCAUUCAUCAUUCAUCACAACUUUGGCCAUAUCAUAUCACAAACCACUUGCUGCAAAAACAAGUUAGACGUCCUCUAAUUGUUGUUGCAAGUUUUACGUGGCUGAAUUAGGGUUCUAGCAAGAGCGUUUUCUUACCUACGUUAAAGCCACAACAUGAUUUGUCAACUUCUAUUUACCCUUCAUAAGGACCCUGUUCAUCGAUUUCGCUCCAACUAAAGUAGGAGAGACAGACACCCGCCAGCCACCUUAUGCAACUAGUGCAUGUUAGUCGGUGGAACCGGUCUCACGUAAGCGUACGUGUAAGGUUGGUCCGGGCCGCUUCAUCCCACAAUACCGCUGAAGCAAGAAAGGACUAGUAACGGCAAGAAAGUUGACAAAUCUACGCCCACAACAAAUUGUGUUCUACUCGCGCAAGAAGAACUACGCAUAGACCUAGCUCAUGAUGCCACUGUUGGGGAACGUUGCAGAAAACAAAAAUUUCCUACUCGUUUCACCAAGAUCAUCUAGGAGUUCAUCUAGCAACGAGUGAUUAGAUGCAUCUACAUACCUUUGUAGAUCGUGCACGGAAGCGUUCAAAAGAACGGUGAUGAUGUAGUCGUACUCGACGUGAUCCAAAUCACCGAUGACCAGUGCCGAACGGACGGCACCUCCGCGUUCAACACACGUACGGGACGGGAGACGUCUCCUCCUUCUUGAUCCAGCAAGGGGGAAGGAGAGGUUGAUGAAGAUCCAGCAGCACGACGGCGUGGUGGUGGAUGCAGGGCGUCACAGCAGCAGGGCUUCGCCGAGACUACGAGGGAGAGACGUAACAGGGGGAGGUGGAGGCGCCAGGGGCUGGUCUAAAAUUCCUCCUCUCCCCCCCACUAUAUAUAGGGGUGCCAGGGGGGCGCCGGCCCUAGUAGAUGGCAUCUACUAGGGGGGCGGCGGCCAAGGGGAGGUUUCCCUCCCCCCCAAGGCACCUAGGGGUGCCUUCCACCACAUGGACUCUUCCAUGGUGGAAACCCUAGGCGCAUGGGCCUAUAGGGGCUGGUGCCCUUGGCCCAUCUAGGCCAAGGCGCACCCCCUACAGCCCAUGUGGCCCACCGGGACAGGUGGCCCCACCCGGUGGACCCCCGGGACCCUUCCGGUGGUCCCGGUACAAUACCGAUAACCCCGAAACUUGUCCCGAUGCCCGAAAUAGCACUUCCUAUAUAUAAUUCUUUACCUCCGGACCAUUCCGGAACUCCUCAUGACGUCCGGUAUCUCAUCCGGGACUCCGAAGAACAUUCGGGUUUCUGCAUAUACAUAUCUUCAUAACCCUAGCGUCACCGAACCUUAAGUGUGUAGACCCUACGGGUUCGAGAGACAAGCAGACAUGACCGAGACGACUCUCCGGUCAAUAACCAACAGCGGGAUCUGGAUACCCAUGUUGGCUCCCACAUGCUCCACGAUGAUCUCAUCGGAUGAACCACGAUGUCGAGGAUUUAAUCAAUCCCGUACGCUAUUCCCUUUGUCUAUCGAUAUGUUACUUGCCCGAGAUUCGAUCGUCGGUAUCCCAAUACCUCGUUCAAUCUCGUUACCGGCAAGUCACUUUACUCGUACCGUAAUGCAUGAUCCCGUGACCAGACACUUGGUCACUCUGAGCUCAUUAUGAUGAUGCAUUACCGAGUGGGCCCAGUGAUACCUCUCCGUCAUACGGAGUGACAAAUCCCAGUCUUGAUCCAUGUCACCCAACAGACACUUUCGGAGAUACCCGUAGUCUACCUUUAUAGUCACCCAGUUACGUUGUGACGUUUGGCAUACCCAAAGCACUCCUACGGUAUCCGGGAGUUACACGAUCUCAUGGUCUAAGGAAAAGAUACUUGACAUUGGAAAACUCUAGCAAAUGAACUAUACGAUCUUGUGCUAUGUUUAAGAUUGGGUCUUGUCCAUCACAUUAUUCUCCCAAUGAUGUGAUCUCGUUAUCAAUGACAUCCAGUGUCCAUAGUCAGGAAACCAUGACUAUCUGUUGAUCAACGAGCUAGUCAACUAGAGGCUCACUAGGGACAUGUCGGUGUCUAUUAUUCACACAUGUAUUACGAUUUCCGGAUAACACAAUUAUAGCAUGAAUAAAGACAAUUAUCAUGAACAAGGAAAUAUAAUAAUAAUGCUUUUAUUAUUGCCUCUAGGGCAUAUUUCCAACACUUGCAUGGGCGAAAAUAUCCCUCCAAGCAUUGUUAGCCACAGCACGGUCAAGGCAAACCUUGACGUUUGCCCGUCCACCUCGCCGGUUAUCAAAGGUGUAUGGGAGACCUGCAAAACCAAGGUCGCCCAGACCACAAACCUCAAGAACAUCACGGAAAUCAAGCAUCUGACCUGCCGAGCGUGGUGUGUCGGAGAAGUGCUCAAAACUCCACAUCGCCUCGUUGAAAUCACCCACCACGACCCAAGGCAUGUUGGCGUGCUGAUGGAGAUUACGGAGGAGGGACCACAUGUGAUGACGGUCCUCCGUUCGGGGCUCGCCAUAAACACAGGUGAGCCGCGAGGGAGGCUCGCCCUCCGCGCCAGUUACAUACGCGUCAAUAUAUCGUUCAUUUAUUUCUUUUACAUCAAGACUCACGGACUCAUGCUAAUACAAAGCAAGACCUCCACUACGACCCACACAAUCGAAAGCUUCUCCAAUGAUGAUUAGCCACGUUGCUAAUCACGUAAAGCACGCAACUAUCCUACGUAGGUGUAGCAUUACCCGUUGGAGUAUGCCGGUUCUCUUAAGCAUGGAUUAAUAAUAGUAUUAGUUAAAUCCUAACGCUUCUCACAUUCUCUUCCUUUCAUGUGAAAUUGUGAAGCAACAAAUUCAGAGAGAUGAGUAGAGUGAAUUAACGACAUAUAUUUUCUGAGGGUUAGCUAGGCGCUUAGGUGAACGCCGAACGCAUUCGACACCGAACACACAUGUUACGCCCACUAAAAAACUGAACAUUCUCCACUGUGCUUGGUGACCUACCCAACCAAACCAAAGCAUCCACCAUUACCGUUAGCUAGCUAGCUCAACUCCCCGUCACCUACCCGGCCACUCCGCUCUCCCUAUAAACACCUCCCGUGCGGACCUCACUUGCAUCUCACAACACAAGCAGUACACACACACAAGCUAGCCACAGCUCGACCAGCACGUUUCAGCUAGCUAGGCCAGGACAAUCAACAGCGAAGAUGGCCUCCCUCACCGUCUCGCAGACGACACCGGCGGCCGGCAACGCCAACAAGCAGCGCGAGGGCGCGGAGAUCAUCACCGGCGCUGAGGCGUGCUACGAGCACUCCAAGGAGCUCCUCAAGGGGCUGGGGUUCCCGGGCGGGGUGAUGCCGCUGCGCGGGCUGGAAGAGUGCGGGCUGGUGCGGGAGACCGGGUACGUGUGGAUGCGGCAGGGAAAGCCCUACGAGCACCACUUCCGCGCCACGGGCACCCGGGUGCGCUACGACGCCGAGGUGACGGCGUACGUGGAGGAAGGGCGGAUGAAGCGGAUGACCGGGGUCCGGAGCAAGCAGAUGAUGCUCUGGGUGCCCAUCGUGGAGAUGAGCCUCGACGGCGCCGACAAGGUCUACUUCAAGUCCAACGUCGGCAUCGGCCGCUCCUUCCCCGCCGCCGCCUUCGCCGACGAGGACGCCGCUGCUGACGACGCGCCGGCGCCGGCCGGCGCCACCGAGGCCAACGACAAGCAUUGAUCGAUCGAUCGACGUCGCAGCGUUCAUAUGGUUUGUGCUGGUGCCUAUAGUACCUGUGUGUGAUACGACUGUACGAGUGAAAGUGAUCUGCGGUGCACGCAUUGGCAUGAGUACGUACGUGGUGCGUCUCGUGCGUGGAGUAUCUUUUUUAUUUUGCGAGUUUGCUUCUAUUAAUUGUUACCAACGAUGUAAUGCUACGUGAAUAUUCAAUCAAUAAUCGAUGAAGUCUUUGUUACCCCUUUGUUACACAAGAGCAAGGUGUUGGGCGGUGUCCCGAUCGAGUAGAGUGGUUGAGCUACCGCAUUGGCGCUACUAUCCGUCUAUCUUAUCCUUCUCCCAAUCUGUCCCAUCAUAAUUACUCGUAAUGAAGGGAAGCACUGUGCCAUCGACUUCAACUUAGCAAGUUAUGGUGCCAAGUCGCUUUCGGAAUUGAUGAUGGUUCUACAAAUAGGAAUCGCUAACAGCUACACAAGACCCGGGUGUUUCUUCAUUUUCAUUUUGGUGCACUACUAGCACAUAUGCAUGCGUUAGAGCAUCUCCAACAGCCGCGCUAAGCGCCGCGCGCAAAAAAUUUGUUUGCCGCGCGCGCUUCGGUUGGUUUAGCGCUGCCGCGAGCGCUGGCUCCAGCAGCCGCGCUAUAAUGCAGCGCGCGCGCCGCUUCAGCAGAGCGCAAAAAUACAGCGCGCGCGCGCCGCACAAACCACAUAUACAUUUCAAAGAAGAGGAGCAAAAAUGAUCAAACAAACAAAAUAAAUCAACAAUAAAUAGUUCAAUUUCAUUAUCAUUACAACUUAAACAAAUAGUUUAUCGUUCAGUACAACAAAUAAUGCAAUAAACACAACAAAUAGUUCAUGAACAAUACAAUGUUGAAUGCAGAAAUCAUCAUGCUCUUUGUCGUUCAUGUCAUGCCCACCACUCUUCAAUCAGAUCAUUCUGAAGUUCAUUGUGCGUUGCGGGACGCCGAAUGACAUGAUAGGAGGCAAUAAAACGGGCUACCCUUUCAGCCCUACGUCGCACUCGCACGGGAUGUCCCAAGAGCUCAUACUGUGAGUAGUCUAAAUCUUGGCCACGCUCAUUCUCGAUGAUCAUGUUGUGCAUGAUCACAUAAGCGUGCAUGAUGUACCAAAGCAUUUUUUGAUCCCAAAAUCUAGCCGGGCCUCUCACAAGAGCAAAUUGGGCUUGCAAAAUCUCAAAUGCUCUCUCCACAUCUUUUCUAGCCGCCGCCUGAGCAUUAUGGAAAUCAAGAUUUUUCUUACCUUCCGGCUUUUUCAACGGCUUCACGAAGGUUUGCCACUUUGGAUAGAUGUCAUCCGCUAGAUAAUAGUCAUAGUUGUACGUACGGCCAUUUGCUACAAACUGCACCGGUGGCAACUCACCGUUUGCAAUCUUAUUCAACAGUGGUGACCGGUUGACAAUAUUGAUGUCAUUCAAAGAUCCAGGCAAUCCAAAGAAUGCAUGCCAAAUCCAAGUCUCCUGAUCGGCCACAGCUUCAAGGAUUAUUGUGGAACCCUUUUUUUGGCCGUGGAAUUGCCCAUGCCAUGCCUUUGGACAAUUCUUCCAACUCCAAUGCAUGCAAUCUAUUGAGCCAAGCAUGCCAGGAAAGCCGCGCGCUUUGUUCAUCGCCAAUAGCCUUGCGGCGUCUUCAGUAGUGGGAGAUCUCAAAUACUCCUCGCCAAACACUUGCACAAUUCCCACUGCAAAGCGCUUGACACACAUGAUGGCUUGGCUCUCACCCAUAGCCAAGUGAUCAUCAACUAGAUUAGCCGGGAUACCGUAUACCAACAUAUGCAAAGCGGCUGUCACCUUCAGAAAGGUGCUAUGCCCGAGCUCUCCGGCGGCAUUCCUCCUUUGCUGGAAAAACCGGUCAUGGCUUGCUAGUUUCUCUGCAAUGCACCUGAACAAGUCAGUGCUCAUUCUAAACCGGCGACGAAAAUACGACUCCGGGUAUGUGGGAUUAUCCACGAAAUAGUUCUUCAUCAAUCUGUUAAUGGGCAUCAAUCCUAUCUCUCCAAAUUUUCUCCCGACCCAUAACCGAACCACCGUGCUUCGGUUUUUUAUUGAUAUGCAUAGCUAGGAUCAUUGCAAGAUCCUCCUCCUCUUCCAUAUCAAAUUCUUCUUCGAAAGAAUCAUACGACGAACUCAUCUACAAUGUUCAAUACUAUACUAUAAAAACUACAAUUCAAAACAUGCACCAAAUUCAUGAAGUUUGAGCAAUACAUAUCUUGUAGGCGUUUUGUCGAACACCUUGCGGGCGCGGCGCGGCAGCGAGCGCUCGGGCGUUGUUCCUCGGACGACGGAGGCGUGCGAGCGCCGGCGGGACUAGGAGGGGAUGGGGUGGAAGCGCGGCGGCGCGGGGAUAGGCCGGGGAAGCGGCUGAACGGUCGCCGGGGGGCGCGGGCGGCAGCGGCGGCGCAGCCGGAUGGGGUGGAAGUGGGGAGGAAGUGCGAUAGCGAGCGCUCGAGUUUGCCGCGCGCUGUAGCGGGCGCCCGAAAUACACCGCGCGGGACAGUGUUUCCGACAGCGCGCCCAACUCGUUUUAGCGCGCGCACCGUUUUUGCGCGCCCGCUGGAGCGACCCGCCGCGUUGCGCGCGCGCUAAAACGGACUAAUUUGCGGCGUGGCGCUAGUUUAGCGCGCCUGUUGGAGACGCUCUUACAACGGGAGAAAAAAUAAUAUGCAUUUAAAGUUAGUGAGAAUUAUAUGUGUAAGUAAAACCCUGUGUGCACGUGAAAAAAGAACAUUUAGCUUCUUGAUUUUGCUGGGUAUGAAGUAAUCAAUUCGCUAUUUUUCUAUUCAUUGAUUGAGGGCAUUUAAGAGUUUUAUUACAUCAUCGUAUGCCAGAGAAGGCUCAUGGAUUAUUAUUUUUUACGAAAAGGCCCAUGAAUCAUUCAAUGUACUUUUCUUUUCAAUCGAGGAGAUUUAAGGUAUGAAGUUUCUGAAUAUUGUACAAAAUAUGAACCAUUUUCUAAAUCCUAAAUAUGUUUUUAAAAAUAAUGUACACUUUUAGAAAAACGUGAACAAAACUUGAAACAGGAAUAUCUUUUAAAAUUCACAAAUAUUUUUUUAAAA
rnacentral:lncRNA from 1 species